rnacentral:lncRNA from 1 species
AGCUCCCUGCAGCUCGAGCACCGCCGGCAUUUUUCUAUAAGAAAGAUAUUUGAUAUUUUUGCUUGUUAAUUAUUGCACUCUCAAUAUAGUUUAAUUUCCCUUUUAUUUCAGAGACAGACAGUUAACCACAUCGAAUUGGGUUGACCGCUACAGGAACAGAAGAUCAAUCCUAGACGCCAGUGUCGGCAUUGCAGUUUUCAGGGGCGAAGUACACCCUGCCGGCGGCGAGGUCGUAGACGAAGCGCGUGCCCACUUGCGUCGCUGGGCCGAUGACGGUAAUCUGCGGGUGCGGUUUCACGGCGAGGCACAUGUCUUGAUCCUGCAGGACAAACAGCUUAUUCGGCGUGAGCACAAGGUCCUGCUCGGACUCGAAGUGCAGCGUCACCGUCGGCCAGUGCGACAAGAUGGCGCGCGUCGCGCGGAAGCAGAGACCGAAGUUGUGGCGGGGUACGCGCGGCACCCCGAGCCUCCUGCCGUGCUCCGCCAGGGCGCGCUCCAGGAUGUCGUACGCAGGCCUGNNNNNNNNNNNNNNNNNNNNNNNNNNNNNNNNNNNNNNNNNNNNNNNNNNNNNNNNNNNNNNNNNNNNNNNNNNNNNNNNNNNNNNNNNNNNNNNNNNNNNNNNNNNNNNNNNNNNNNNNNNNNNNNNNNNNNNNNNNNNNNNNNNNNNNNNNNNNNNNNNNNNNNNNNNNNNNNNNNNNNNNNNNNNNNNNNNNNNNNNNNNNNNNNNNNNNNNNNNNNNNNNNNNNNNNNNNNNNNNNNNNNNNNNNNNNNNNNNNNNNNNNNNNNNNNNNNNNNNNNNNNNNNNNNNNNNNNNNNNNNNNNNNNNNNNNNNNNNNNNNNNNNNNNNNNNNNNNNNNNNNNNNNNNNNNNNNNNNNNNNNNNNNNNNNNNNNNNNNNNNNNNNNNNNNNNNNNNNNNNNNNGUAGGCGCUCACCUCGGGGUAGAGCAGCCUGGUGCUCUUCAUGUGCCUCGUGUCGACCCGGAUGUCGCUGCCGAACCGGAGGAACCCGUGCCGGUUCCCCUGCGUGAACGGGAAGAAGAGGCAGUACGAGAAGCGAUGCAAGCCGCCACGGCCCAGUAACCAGAUGAGCGAUGGGUACGUCUUUCCCAGGGCGAGGAUGCCGGCAAGCACUCCGUGGCUUCUGAAACGCUCGCUGGUGUGCGCGCAGCCGAUGACGACGGCGGGUUCGACCGCCGCCGCGGCGCCAUGGCCCGAGGCCGCGAAGGACAUGGUCUCAUGGCCGAGCACACCGCUUGCACUCGCGACACCGAGGAACAUGGGGUUGCUCCUGAACCUGCACACGCUGCCCCCCGGCGGCGAGCAAAGGUGGUUGGUGGGCGCGAGUGGGUGGAAUGACGGCGAGGCCGUCGGGUCGAAGGGCGGCGGCACCUGCUCAAACGGGUUUUGGAUCGGCACGCACUGCAUCCACGUCAGGCUCUGGGUCAUCUCCAUCGCGAGGGUGUACGUUCGGCGGCAUGUGCGACCGAAGCACGUUGGGGGCGUGCUCAACUGGCUCGUUCAGGUGCACGAACCCGUCGUCGUCGACAUGGAUGGUACUGUUCCAGCCGGGGCUAGGGACCAGGCGCAGGCUAAAGCCCUUGCUGCGGCCUGAUGUCGCAUCGUCAACAGCGACGACGACGGCAGGAUGGAGGAGCGCCGCAAGCACCAGAUGGAGGAGAAGAGCGUGAUUGGAGAGGUCCAUGGAUGUGGCUGUUGGAGAGUUAACUUGUUGGCUCGUGCACACAAUAGUGAGCACUCUUUUGUGUAUGGCUUGGCUGCAUUUAUAAUGAACCAAGAAUCCUUUGUUGAGAUUUGCAUAUCCCUUGUCCACUUCUAUGUACACAAGGAUUUGGCUGCAUUUCUAUGUAUCUAUCUAUCUAUAACAAUACAUCUAUAAAUCUAUCUAUAUCUAUCUAUAUAUCUAUUUAUAUCUAUGCAUCUAUCGGUCUAUCUAUCUAUCUAUACAUUAGAGACUCUAGAAGUUCUCAUGUUAAUCAGAAAAUACGAGACAUUAAUUUGGUGGGCCCGAGUUAUUAUGGUUUAGAUCUGUCCAUUUAAUAUCCAUAUUAAUCAAAAAAUACAAGAUGUGCAUCUGAUGGGACCAAGUUAUUACGGUGUAGAUCAACCCAUGUAACCCUUGGUUGUAAUUUCGUUCAAUUCUACGAAAAUAUUUUUGUUCUUAAAAGGCCCACAUCCAUGUAGAGAAGGGCUUGACUGCAUUUAUUGUGAAUCCAAAAUCCCUAGUUGGGAUUUGCGUAUACCUUGCAACCCUCCAUGUAUACGAGGGAUUGGCUGCGUUUAAUAUGAAUCCAAUAUCCCUUGUUGACAUUUGCAGAUCCUUUAAACACCACCAUGUAGAGGAAGAUAUAGUAGCAUCUAUUAUGAAUCAAAAAUCUCUUGUUGAGAUUUGCAUAUCCAUUACACACUUCCAUGUACCGCAAACUAAUUUAUGUCAUAAACACAGGUAGGGGCACGAAGGCCCCAAAAGAUUUUGGAAAAAAAAAAUCUUAUACGACCAGAUCAUAUGCUCCACCAGGUUACACCCACUUUGAUGAGAGAAUUCCUUAUUUAACACUGUCUUAAUUUUUUUGCCCUACUUAACACCGGAAAACUUUUUCUUCCUUAUCUAACAACAAUGCUAAAUUUUGUUCCCUUUGUGACACUUCUGUCUAUUUUGAGCACUAAUGGUGUUAAGUGGCACAUGAAAAGACGAUCUUACCCCUAUUGCAACUUGUGACCAAAAUAAUUCAGAACAAUAUCAAUAACUUGGUCCUGCUGUUAAGUGCAAAACUGGGCAGAACCUCCCCUAUAAACAUGCCAUUUUGGAAAGUUUUUUAUUUCGAAAUUCAAUUCAAAUUUUGGGCAGAACCUCCCCUGUAAUUUGCCAUUCCUGUAGACACAAUCCACAUAUACAUUUUUCAACACACAACUUUCAAAUUUGCCAAUGGCAUGAGGCAUAAACAUGCAGACUCACAUCCAAGUACACAUAUAUGAUUUACAACAUAUCCAGGUUAGUUCAAGUCCACACACACAUGAAAUUAGCAACCCAAAAGUGACUCACAUCAUACCCAGGUUCACAUGCAUGAGUCCAACUCCACAUACAUCACAUUAGCAACCCAAAAGUGGCUCACAUCAUACCCAGAUUCACAUACAUGAGUCCAACUCCACACAACAUGACAUGAGCAGCAACAAAAGUGACUUUAAGUGCAAGAAAUUAGAUGGAGUUCACAAGCUUAGUCUUCUUUUGCUUCUUGUGCCCAUUGCAGGGCUAGUUGGGUAAGCUUUUUUGCUUCUAGUGCCCAUUGCAGGGCUGUGAAAUGGCACCAUCGGAUUAUUUUGAUCCUUUUUUAGCAAGCUUCAUCUUCCUUGUGGCCCUAAAAAGAAAGACAUGGUUGUCAAAUUAUUAUAGUGCAUGCAAUACAUAUGGAUAUAUUUGAUACAUGUAUGGCAGCAAACAACAAUAUUAACUAUUCAUAAUAUGUGAUAUUAAAAUUCAGAAACAGAAAAGGUCACCUUUUCCCCCCUUUUGCAUUUUUCUUGUUUGUAGUCUCCAAUGUUUGGUUAUGUUUUCCCUUUUUCUUGGUUGUAGUUGAAGGAAAUAUGCCCUAGAGGCAAUAAUAAAGUUAUUAUUUAUUUCCUUAUAUCAUGAUAAAUGUUUAUUAUUCAUGCUAGAAUUGUAUUAACCGGAAACAUAAUACAUGUGUGAAUACAUAGACAAACAUAGUGGCACUAGUAUGCCUCUACUUGACUAGCUCAUUGAUCAAAGAUGGUUAUGUUUCCUAACGAUAGACAUGAGUUGUCAUUUGAUUAACGGGAUCACAUCAUUAGGAGAAUGAUGUGAUUGACUUGACCCAUUUUGUUAGCUUAGCACUUGAUCGUUUAGUUUGUUGCUAUUGCUUUCUUCAUGACUUAUACAUGUUCCUAUGACUAUGAGAUUAUGCCACUCCCGUUUACCGGAGGAACACUUUGUGUGCUACCAAACGUCACAACGUAACUGGGUGAUUAUAAAGGUGCUCUACAGGUGUCUCCGAAGGUACUUGUUGGGUUGGUGUAUUUCGAGAUUAGGAUUUGUCACUCCGAUUGUCGGAGAGGUAUCUCUGGGCCCUCUCGGUAAUGCACAUCACAUAAGCCUUGCAAGCAUUGCAACUAAUAAGUUAGUUGCGGGAUGAUGUAUUAUGGAACGAGUAAAGAGACUUGCCGGUAACAAGAUUGAACUAGGUAUUGAGAUACCGAUGAUCAAAUCUCGGACAAGUAACAUAGCGAUGACAAAGGGAACAACGUAUGUUGUUAUGCGGUCUGACCGGUAAAAGAUCUUCAUAUAAUAUGUAGGAAUCAAUAUGAGCAUCCAAGUUCCGCUAUUGGUUAUUGACCGGAGACGUGUCUCGGUCAUGUCUACAUUGUUCUCGAACCCGUAGGGUCCGCACACUUAACGUUACGAUGACAGUUUCAUUAUGAGUUUAUAUAUUUUGAUGUACCGAAGGUUGUUCGGAGUUCCGGAUGGGAUCACAGACAUAACGAGGAGUCUCGAAAUAGUCGAGACAUAAAGAUUGAUAUAUUGGACGACUAUAUUCGGACACAGGAAUGGUUCCGGCAGUUAUCGGAUAUAAAACGGAGUACCGGGGGUUACCGGAACCCCCCCCCCUCCCCGGGGGGUUAAUGGGCCUCAUGGGCCCAAAGUGGAGCAGAGGAGGGGCGGCUAGGGCAGGCUGCACGCCCCCUCCCCCUCUAGUCCGAAUUGGACAAGGAGGGAGGGGCGGCGCUGUUGGAAAUAUGCCCUAGAGGCAAUAAUAAAUUGGUUAUUAUUAUAUUUCCUUGUUCAUGAUAAUCGUUUAUUAUCCAUGCUAGAAUUGUAUUGAUAGGAAACUCAGAUACAUGUGUGGAUACAUAGACAACACCAUGUCCCUAAUAAGCCUCUAGUUGACUAGCUCGUUGAUCAAUAGAUGGUUACGGUUUCCUGGCCAUGGACAUUGGAUGUCGUUGAUAACGGGAUCACAUCAUUAGGAGAAUGAUGUGAUGGACGAGACCCAAUCCUAAGCCUAGCACAAAGAUCGUGUAGUUCGUAUGCUAAAGCUUUUCUAAUGUCAAGUAUCAUUUCCUUAGACCAUGAGAUUGUGCAACUCCCAGAUACCGUAGGAGUGCUUUGGGUGUGCGAAACGUCACAACAUAACUGGGUGGCUAUAAAGGUACACUACAGGUAUCUCCGAAAGUGUCUAUUGGGUUGGCACGAAUCGAGACUGGGAUUUGUCACUCCGUGUAAACUGAGAGGUAUCUCUGGGCCCACUCGGUAGGACAUCAUCAUAAUGUGCACAAUGUGAUCAAGGAGUUGAUCACGGGAUGAUGUGUUACGAAACGAGUAAAGAGACUUGCCGGUAACGAGAUGGAACAAGGUAUCAGGAUAUCGACGAUCGAAUCUCGGGCAAGUAUCGUACCGAUGGACAAAGGGAAUUGUAUAUGGGAUUGAUUAAAUCCUUGACAUCGUGGUUCAUCCGAUGAGAUCAUCGUGGAACAUGUUGGAGCCAACAUGGGUAUCUAGAUCCCGCUAUUGGUUAUUGGCCAGAGAGUUGUCUCUGUCAUGUCUGCAUGGUUCCCGAACCCGUAGGGUCUACACACUUAAGGUUCGAUGAUGCUAGGGUUAUAGGGAAUAGAUAUACGUGGUUACCGAAUGUUGUUCGGAGUCCCGGAUAAGAUCCCGGACGUCACGAGGAGUUCCGAAAUGGUCCGGAGGUAAAGAUUUAUAUAUGGGAAGUCCUGUUUUGGUCGCCGGAAAAGUUUCGGGUUUUAUCGGUAAUGUACCGGGACCACCGGGAGGGUCCCGGUGGUCCAUCAAGUGGGGCCACCAGCCCCGGAGGGCUGCAUGGGCCAAGUGUGGGAGGGGACCAGCCCCAAGUGGGCUGGUGCGCCCCCCCACAAGGGCCCAAGGCACCUAGGGUUUGGGGAGGGGGCGCCUCCACCUAGCUUGGGGGGCAAGUUUCCCCUCUCCCCCCCUUGGCCGCCACCCUAGAUGGGUUUGGGACUGCCGCACCCCUUGGGGUGGAAACCCUAAAGGGGGCGCACCCCCCUCCCUCUCCCCUAUAUAUACCUGAGGACUUUGGGGCUGCCAACACAUGAGUUUUGACCUCUCCAUGGCGCAGCCCUGCCUCUCUCCCUACUCCUCUCCCGCGGUGCUUGGCGAAGCCCUGCAGGAUUGCCACGCUCCUCCACCACCACCACGCCGUCGUGCUGCUGCUGGAUGGAGUCUUCCCCAACCUCUCCUUCUCCCCUUGCUGGAUCAAGGCGUAGGAGACGUCACCGGGCUGCACGUGUAUUGAACGCGGAGGUGCCGUCCAUUCGGCACUAGGAUCUCCGGUGAUUUGAAUCACGACGAGUACGACUCCAUCAACCCCGUUCACUUGAACGCUUCCGCUUAGCAAUCUACAAGGGUAUGUAGGUGCACUCUCCUUCCCCUCGUUGCUAGAUUACUCCAUAGAUUGAUCUUGGUGAUGCGUAGAAUUUUUUUUAAUUUCUGCUACGUUCCCCAACAGUGGCAUCAUGAGCUAGGUCUAUGCGUAGUUUCUAUGCACGAGUAGAACACAAAGCAGUUGUGGGCAUUGAUUUUGUCAAUUUACUUGCCGUUACUAGUCUUAUCUUGAUUCGGCGACAUCGUGGGAUGAAGCGGCCCGGACCGACCUUACACGUACGCUUGCGUGAGACUGGUUCCACCGACUGACAUGCACUAGUUGCAUAAGGUGGCUAGCGGGUGUCUGUCUUUCCCACUUUAGUCGGAUCGGAUUCGAUGAAAAGGGUCAUUAUGAAGGGUAAAUAGAAAUUGGCAUAUCACGUUGUGGUUUUGGCGUAGGUAACAAACGUUCUUGCUAGAAACCUAUAGCAGCCACGUAAAAACUUGCAACAACAAUUAGAGGACGUCUAACUUGUUUUUGCAGCAUAUGCCUUGUGAUGUGAUAUGGCCAAAAGGAUGUGAUGAAUGAUAUAUGUGAUGUAUGAGAUUGAUCAUGUUCUUGUAAUAGGAAUCACGACUUGCAUGUCGAUGAGUAUGACAACCGGCAGGAGCCAUAGGAGUUGUCUUAAUUUAUUUAUGACCUGUGUGUCAACAUAAACGUCAUGUAAUUACUUUACUUUAUUGCUAAAGCGUUAGCCAUAGUAGUAGAAGUAAUAGAUGACGAGACAACUUCAAGAAGACACGAUGAUGGAGAUCAUGAUGAUGGAGAUCAUGGUGUCAUGCCGGUGACAACGAUGAUCAUGGAGCCCCGAAGAUGGAGAUCGAGAGGAGCAAAAUGAUAUUGGCCAUAUCAUGUCACUAUUUGAUUGCAUGUGAUGUUUAUCAUGUUUUACAUCUUAUUUGCUUAGAACGGCGGUAGCUUAAAUAAGAUGAUCCCUCACUAAAAUUUCAAGAAAGGUGUUCCCCCUAACUGUGCACCAUUGCGAAGGUUCGUUGUUUCGAAGCGCCACGUGAUGAUCGGGUGUGAUAGAUUCUAACGUUCGAAUACAACGGGUGUAAGCCAGAUUUACACAGCAAAAACACUUAGGUUGACUUGACGAGCCUAGCAUGUACAUACAUGGCCUCGGAACACGGAAGACCGAAAGGUCGAGCAUGAGUCGUAUAGAAGAUACGAUCAACAUGAAGAUGUUCACCGAUGUUGACUAGUCCGUCUCACGUGAUGAUCGGACACGGCCUAGUUGACUCGGAUCAUGUUUCACUUAGAUGACUAGAGGGAUGUCUAUCUGAGUGGGAGUUCAUUAAAUGAACUCAAUUAUCAUGAACAUAGUCUAAAUUGUCUUUGCAAAUAUGUUGUAGAUAAAUAGCUCAUGUUGUAGCUCCCUGUUUCAAUACGUUCCUAGAGAAAGACCAAGUUGAAAGAUAUUGUAAGCACUGAUGCGGACUAGGUCCGUAGUCCGAGGAGUGUCCUCGCUGCUACAUAGAAGGCUUACAUCUUUGAUGCACCGCUCGAUGUGCAAACCCCUACAACGUCGUCUGUGGAUGUUGUGAACACCUGACAGACACAUCCUGAUGACUACUUGAUAGUUUAGUGCACCAUACUUUAUGGCUUAGAAUCGGGAUUUGAAUGACAUUUUGAACGCCAUAGAACAUAUGAGAUGUUCCAAGAGCUGAAAUUGGGAUUUCAGGCUCAUGCCCGUGUUGAGAGGUGUGAGACCUCUAACAAGUUCUUUUGCCAACAAGAUGGAGGAGAAUAGCUCAGCUAGUGAGCAUGUGCUCAGAAUGUUUGGGUGCUACAAUCACUUAAAUCAAGUGGUGGUUAAACUUCCAGAUAAGAUAGUGAUUGAUAGAGUUCUCUAGCCACUAUCACUAGGCUACUAGAUCUUCGUGAUGAACUAUGACAUGCAAGGGAUGGAAUUGAUCCCGGAGCUGUUCGCGGUGCUUAAGACCGCAAAAGGUAGAAAUCAAGAAGGAGCAUCAACUGUUGAUGGUUUAACAAGACCACUGGUUUCAAGAAGGGCAAAGGAUAGAAGGGAAACUUCAUGGAUGGCAAACCAGUUGCCGCUCCAGUAAAGGAACCCAAGGUUGAACCCAAACCCGAGACUAAGUGCUUCUAUUGUAAGGGGAACGGUCACUGGUAGCAGAAUUACCCCAAAUGCAUGGUAGAUAAGAAGGCUGGCAACUUCAACAAAGUAUAUGCGUGUUAUUAAUGUGUACCUCGCUAGUACUCCUGGUAGCACCUGGGUAUUGGAUAUCGGUUCAGUUACUAUUAAUGGUGACUUGAAGCAAAAGCUACGGACUAAACAGAGACUGGCUAAGGGCGAGGUGACGAUGUGUGUUGGAAGUGUUUCCAAAGUUGAUGAGAUCACCAUCGCACGCUCCAUCUGCCUUCGGGAUUAGUAUUGAACCUAGAUAAAUGUUAUCAGGUGUCUACGUUGAGCAUGAAUAUGAUUAGAUCAUGUUCAUUGCAAUACGGUCAUUCAUUUAAGUUAGAGAAUAAUGGUUAUUCUGUUUACAUGAAUGAUACCUUUCAUGGUCAUGCACCCUAUGUGAAUGGUUCAUUGAAUCUUGAUCGUGGUAAUACAAAUGUUCACGCCAAAAGAUGUAGAGUUAAUAAUGAUAGUACCACUUUCUCGUGGCACUGCCGCUUAGGUCAUAUUGGCGUAAGAUGCAUGAAGAAACUCCAUGUCGAUGGAUGUUUGGAGUCACUUGUUUUUGAAUCGCUUGACACAUGCGAGCCAUGCCUCAUGGGCAGGAUGACUAAGACCCCGCUUUCAGGUACAAUGAAACGGGCAAGUGACUUGUUGGAAAUCAUACAUGCUGAUGCGUGUGAUCCAAUGAGAAUUGAAGCGUGCAGUGGAUAUCGCUAUUUUCUCAUCUUCACUGACGAUUUGAGUAGAUAUAGGUAUAUCUACUUAAUGAAGCACAAGUCUGAAACGUUUGAAAAGUUCAAGCGAUUUCAGAGUGAAGUUAAGAAUCAUCAUAACAAUAAGAUCAUGUUCCUACGAUCUGAUCAAAAGGGGAUUUUCUGAGUUAUGAGUUUGGCAAUCACUUAAGACAUUGUGGAAUUGUUCCACAGUUGAAGCCACCUGGAACACAACAAGGUAAUGGUGUAUCCGGACGUCGUAAUAGAACACUAUGAGAUAUGGUGCGAUCUAUGAUGUCUCUUACCAAUCUACCAUUUUCAUUUUGAGGUUAUGCGUUAGAGACAUCUGCAUUCACUUUAGAUAGGACACCAUCUAAGUCCGUUGAGACGAUGUUGUAUGAACAUUGGUUUGGCAAGAAACCAAAGUUGUCGUUUCUUAAUGUUUGGGGCUGCGAUGCUUAAGGCUUCAGCCGGAGAAGCUCGAACCCAAACCGGACAAACACAUCUUCAUAGGAUACCCAAAGGUGAUAGUUGGGUAUACCUUCUAUCUCGGAUCCGAGGGCAAAUUUUUUGUCGCUAAGAACGGGUCCUUUCUCGAGAAGGAGUUUCUCUCGAAAUAAUUGAGUGGGAGGAAGAUAGAACUUGAUGAGGUUGUCGAACCUUUAUUUCAACCAGAGAGUGAUGCAACACAGAAAGAUGUUUUCUGUGGAGCCUACGUCUGUCGAAUAGGAAGUUAAUGAUAGUGAUCAUGAAGCUUCGGAUCAAGUUGCUAUCGAAUCUCGUAGGUCGACAAGGAUAUGUACUACUCCUAAGUGGUACGGUGAUCCUGUCUUAGAUAUCAUGUUGUUAGACAACAAUGAACCUACGAGCUAUGGAGAAGCAAUGGUGGGCCCGUAUUCCAACAAAUGGUUAGAAGCCAUGAAAUCCGAGAUAGGAUCCAUGUAUGGACUUUGGUGGACUUGCCCGUUGAUCGGCAAGCCAUCGAGAUAAAUGGAUCUUUGAGAAGAAGACAGACGUGGGCGGUAAUGUUACCUUCUAUGAAGCUCGACUUGUGGGAAAGAGUCUUUUCACAAGUUCAAGGAGUUGACUACGAUGAGAAUUUCUCACCCGUAGCGAUGCUUAAGUCCGUCGGAAUCAUGUUAGCAUUAGCUGUGUUUUUCGAUUAUGAAAUCUGACAGAUGGAUGUCAAAACAAGUUUUCUUACCAGUUUUCAUAAGAAAAAGUUGUAUGUGAUAUAAUAAAAGGUUUUGUCGAUCCUAAGGAUGCUAAAAAGUAUGCUGGCUCCAGCGAUCCUUCUAUGGACUAGAGCAAGCAUCUCGGAAUCGGAAUAUAUGCUUUGAUGGAGUAAUCAAAGCUUUUAGGUUUAUACAAUGUUUGCUAGAAACUUGUAUUUACAAGAAAGUGAGUGGGAGCACUACAAUAUUCUGAUAAGUAUAUGUGGAUGACAUAUUGUUGAUCUGAAAUAAUGUAGAAUUUCAGGAAAGCAUAAACGGUUGUUUGAAGAGUGAUUUUCAAAGGAAGGCCUGGAUAAAGCUGCUUACAUAUUGGGCAUCAAGAUCUAUAGAAAUAGAUCAAGACGCCUGAUGAUACUUUCAAAGAACGCACACCUUGACAUGUUUUUGAAAGAGUUCAAAAUAGAUCAGUCAAAGAAGGGGUUCUCACCUGAGUUGUAAGGUGUGAAGUUGAGUAAGACUCAAAGAUUGACCACGGCAGAAGAAAGAGGAAGGACGAAGGUCGUCCCCUAUGCUCUUGUCAUAGGCUCUAUACGGUAUGCCAUGCUGAGUACCGCACCUGAUGUGUGCCUUGCCAUAUGUCUGGCAAGAGGGUACAAAGGUGAUCUAGGAGUAGAUCACCAGAUAGCGGUCAAAAUUAUCCUUAGAGGAAUAAGGAAAUGUUUCUCGGUUAUGGAGGUGAUAAAGAGUUCAACAUAAAGAGUUACGUUGAUGCAAGCUUAACACCUAUCCGGAUAGCUCUGAGUAGACAUACUGGAUACGUAUAAUGGAGCAACAAUUUGGAAUAGCUCCAAGUGGAACGUGGUAGCAGCAUCUACGAUAUAAAGUUUUGCGAAAUACAUAGGGAUCUGAAUAUGGCAAGACCCGUUGACUACAACCUCUCUCACAAGCAUAACAUGAUCAAACCCAGAACUCUUUGAGUGUUUAUCACAUAGUGAUGUGAACUAGAUCAUUGAGUCUAGUAAACUCUUGGAUGUUGGUCACAUGGCGAUGUGACCUGUGAGUGUUAAUCACAUGGUGAUGUGAACUAGAUUAUUGACUCUAGUGCAAGUGGGAGACCGUUGGAAAUAUGCCCUAGAGGCAAUAAUAAAUUGGUUAUUAUUAUAUUUCCUUAUUCAUGAUAAUCGUUUAUUAUCCAUGCUAGAAUUGUAUUGAUAGGAAACUCAGAUACAUGUGUGGAUACAUAGACAACACCAUGUCCCUAGUAAGCCUCUAGUUGACUAGCUCGUUGAUCAAUAGAUGGUUACGGUUUCCUGGCCAUGGACAUUGGAUGUCGUUGAUAACGGGAUCACAUCAUUAGGAGAAUGAUGUGAUGGACGAGACCCAAUCCUAAGCCUAGCACAAAGAUCGUGUAGUUCAUAUGCUAAAGCUUUUCUAAUGUCAAGUAUCAUUUCCUUAGACCAUGAGAUUGUGCAACUCCCGGAUACCGUAGGAGUGCUUUGGGUGUGCCAAACGUCACAACGUAACUGGGUGGCUAUAAAGGUACACUACAGGUAUCUCCGAAAGUGUCUGUUGGGUUGGCACGAAUCGAGACUGGGAUUUGUCACUCCAUGUAAACGAAGAGGUAUCUCUGGGCCCACUCGGUAGGACAUCAUCAUAAUGUGCACAAUGUGAUCAAGGAGUUGAUCACGGGAUGAUGUGUUACGGAACAAGUAAAGAGACUUGCCGGUAACGAGAUUGAACAAGGUAUCAGGAUACCGACGAUCGAAUCUCGGGCAAGUAUCGUACCGAUGGACAAAGGGAAUUGUAUACGGGAUUGAUUAAAUCCUUGACAUCGUGGUUCAUCCGAUGAGAUCAUCAUGGAACAUGUGGGAGCCAACAUGCAUAUCCAGAUCCCGCUGUUGGUUAUUGGCCGGAGAGUUGUCUCGGUCAUGUCUGCAUGGUUCCCGAACCCGUAGGGUCUACACACUUAAGGUUAGAUAACGCUAGGGUUAUAGGGAAUAGAUAUACGUGGUUACCGAAUGUUGUUCGGAGUCCCGAAUAAGAUCCCGGACGUCAUGAGGAGUUCCGGAAUGGUCCGGAGGUAAAGAUUUAUAUAUGGGAAGUCCUGUUUUGGUCGCCGGAAAAGUUUCGGGUUUUAUCGGUAAUGUACCGGGACCACCGGGAGGGUCCCGGUGGUCCACCAAGUGGGGCCACCAGCCCCGAAGGGCUACAUGGGCCAAGUGUGGGAGGGGACCAGCCCCAGGUGGGCUGGUGCACCCCCCACAAGGGCCCAAGGCGCCUAGGGUUUGGGGAGGGGGCGCCUCCACCUAGCUUGGGGGGCAAGUUUCCCCUCCCCCCCCCUUGGCCGCCACCCUAGAUGGGUUUGGGGCUGCCGCACCCCUUGGGGUGGAAACCCUAAAGGGGGCGCACCCCCCUCCCUCUCCCCUAUAUAUACUUGAGGACUUUGGGGUUGCCAACACAUGAGUUUUGACCUCUCCAUGGCACAGCCCUGCCUCUCUCCCUACUCCUCUCCCGCGGUGCUUGGCGAAGCCCUGCAGGAUUGCCACGCUCCUCCACCACCACCACGCCGUCGUGCUGCUGCCGGAUGGAGUCUUCCCCAACCUCUCCUUCUCCCCUUGGUGGAUCAAGGCGUAGGAGACGUCACCGGGCUGCACGCGUGUUGAACGCAGAGGUGCUGUCCGUUCGGCACUAGGAUCUCCGGUGAUUUGAAUCACGACGAGUACGACUCCAUCAACCCCGUUCACUUGAAUGCUUCCGCUUAGCGAUCUACAAGGGUAUGUAGAUGCACUCUCCUUCCCCUCAUUGCUAGAUUACUCCAUAGAUUGAUCUUGGUGAUGCAUAGAAAAUUUUGAAUUUCUGCUACGUUCCCCAACAGGCUCCCCCCUUUCCUUUCUCUCCUCUCUCCCUUCCUUCCCCCUCUCCUAGUUGGACAAGGAAAGGAGGGAGUCCUACUCCCGGUAGGAGUAGGACUCCUCCCUGGCGCGCCUCCUCCUGGCCGGCCGCCCCUCCCCCUUGCUCCUUUAUAUACGGGGGCAGGGGCACCUCUAGACACAACAAUUGAUCCUUGAGAUCUAUUAGCCGUGUGCGGUGCCCUCCUCCACCAUAAUCCUCGAUAAUAUUGUAGCGGUGCUUAGGCAAAGCCAUGCGACGGUAGAACAUCAAGAUCGUCACCAGCCGUCGUGCUGAAGGAAAUCUUCCCCGACAUUCUGCUGGAUCGGAGUCCGGGGAUCGUCAUCGAGCUGGACGUGUGCUAGAACUCGGAGGUGCCGUAGUUUCGGUGCUUGAUCGGUCGGGCCGUGAAGACGUAUGACUACAUCAACCGCAUUGUGCUAACGCUUCCGCUUCCGGUCUACGAGGGUACGUAGACAACACUCUCCCCUCUCGUUGCUAUGCAUCACCAUGAUCUUGUGUGUGCGUAGAAAAUAUUUUGAAAUUACUAUGUUCCCCAACAGUGGUAUCCGAGCCUAGGUUUUAUGCGUUGAUGUUGUGCACGAGUAGAACACAAGUGAGUUGUGGGCGAUAUAAGUCAUACUGCUUACCAGCAUGUCAUACUUUGGUUCGGCGGUAUUGUUGGAUCAACCAGAGUAAGAUCCGCACCAGAGUGGUACGGUAAUCCUGUUCUGGAAGUCAUGCUACUAGAUCAUGAUGAACCUACAAACUAUGAAGAAGCGAUGGUGAGCCCAGAUUCCGCAAAAUGGCUUGAAGCCAUGAAAUCUGAGAUGGGAUCCAUGUAUGAGAACAAAGUGUAGACUUUGGUUGACUUGCCUGUCAGGACCCCGACUCGAUGCCACAUCGAUCUAGCAUGUAACACCUUAUAUCACUUUGUGGCCUCACGCACGGUAUCCCCACGGGUGUCGUCUUACCUUUGCCCGGGACCGUUUGCGCAUUUUGGCACACGUAUAUGAUGGUGUCGCUAGCAUCCAUAUGAUAAAGAGCCCGGGCUGACAUGACUAGUCGUAAACCCAAAGUGGCACAGACUUACAGGGACAGGCAUCCAUGACCCAGCUUCGAACGUGUCGGUCAUCAACAAGUGGGUUCGGGCUGUAGCACUGGGCUAGCAGGACUCCGGUAAACCGGGCUGUAGCGGGCUAACAGGACUCCGGUACUCAAAGCGUGACAUUUCCCCGAAGGGACAGACACAGGAACGAAGAAGGACACAUGCCGGCCAGCCUAAGUGUUCCAGAGCAGUAGCAAGCUACCAUGGCUCAGCGGUAACACUAGGAGACAUUUCCCGGUAAGAGAGGCUACUAAAGAUAAACAACUAGAUAGUCAGAUCCCACACAUAGCAAUACACAUUACACGUACGCAUAACAUGCAAGUAUGUGCUGUACAACAUGGCAUCACAGCAUAACUCAACAACUCAUAUAGAUAAAGGCUCAGAAGAGCCAUCACAGCAUUUAUUGCAAACAGGGGUCACAAGACCCAUCAUACAGAGCAUACAAGAAACAAGCGGAAGCAUUACAUGUCUGGGUACAGACAUCUAUAAAUGAAAAAGGCUGAAGAGCCUGACUAUCCACAACAUCCGAUCAAGAUCGUAGCUGAGGUACUAGCUACUAGUCGAAGUCCACGAGAACACUAGUAAGACCGAAGUCUCCGCUGCAAAAACAUAAAUAAAGCAACAUGAGUACAAAGGUACUCAGCAAGACUUACAUCAGAUCCUAUCAUACAUGCAUUUGUAUCAAGAGGGUAAUGUGGGGUUUAGUUGCAGCAAGCCAACUUUGACUCUGUGGCUAUCCUGUUCUACGACUACCAGAAACUCUGGAGGUGAAAUAACGUACACGAGUCCACUAAUCACCACACAAUACACUACUAUGGAUUCAUCCCCGUCUCCCUACGAGAAGGCCAUCCAUAGCACUCACACUUGUCUUGAGCAUUUUAUAGUAUCCACUUCAAGUUGUCUAUGUACCAUGUAAGCAUCCAAGAAGUCCAUAACCGCGGACCCGGCUAUUCGAAUAGAUCAUGUUAACCCUGCAGGGGUGUACCUCUUCACACACGCUCUCGCCACUUACCGCCAUGUACACGUCAUGUAUCUCGGCAACCUUCAAGCGGAAGCCUGGCGAGGGUGUCGGCCACGACCUGACUAACCACACAAGACUCUAAUCCAGGUUUAUCGCCUAUUCGGGUUCCAUCCGCAAGGAGAUCCGGCCGGGGUUUCACUCACGGCCCCAAACGAUGUGUGCAGGGUUCCCAAGCCCACCUCGCCGGAUGGAUCUACGCUUGGUACACCGUGCCACUGGUGCCUAGUCUGUCCCAAGCCCACCUGGCCGGGUGCCACUUGGUAGACUACUAACACUACCUACAAACGCCAGAAACUAGUUGCGACUCCUGGACAGAGAUCAAGUUGAUUAAUAAGUCGAGAGGGCUUGGAGCGCCCGGAGCCCAAUGUGUGGUAGUAUCGAGUCAUUGGACAACAUACAUAGAACUCAGUGCUUAAGGACGGUUCCAGUGAGACAACCCACCAUGUACUCCUACAUGGCCUCUCACCGCUACCUUUACCAAAUCGUGUUCACACACUUCACUCUCAGCAUAGAACAUAUCGUGACACUCCAAUUCAUUCCCAAUGAACCAGACCUGACACACUCUAAGCAAUAGCAGGCAUAGCAUGGUAGGAACACAUCAGUGGCUUCAAUCAACUCCUACACAUGCUAGUGGGUUUCAACUAUUUACUGUGGCAAUGACAGGUCAUGCAGAGGAAUGGGUUCAGCUACCGCAGCACAAAGUAGCAGAUGAAUCGUUGUUGUCCUAAUGCAAUAACUGAGAGCAGGAGCGAGAGAGUAGGGUUUUAUCGAAAUGAACAAGGGGGUUUGCUUGCCUGGUAAAACAACAGGGGAGGCACUGCUUCACAGACAGGUACUCUGGAACGUCUCCGGAGCAGGAUCUAUCGAGAAGGAACAGUGCCGGCAAUCAAUACACAAUCAUAUGCAACAAUAUGAUGCAUGAACAUGGCAUGUAGAUGUGAUGCUGUUGAGCUAAUGCAACUAGUGUUCAAUUGGUUUGAAGUCCAUUUGAACCAAAGGUUCAAAUGCAUUUCUAAAUUAGGUCUCUUAUAUAAGCCAUAAUGUGUUUCCCAUAUUCAGCAUGUAUAAGUUGGUUUUUCAUGCAUGAAACUAGUACAGAUGGAAAGGUUGCAUUUUUCUGAUAAUUUUUCAUAUAUAAAUUAUUUAAAUCUGAGCUACGGUUGAAUUGUUAUGAAUUUUUGAAGUUUAAAUCAAUUUCUGGAUUUUCUGAAUUAUUUUAAUUCCAGAAAAUGUAUAAUUGCGUCAGCAUGACGUCAUCAUUGCAUCAGCGGUCAACGCGGCUGUCCAGGUCAAAUCUGACGUGUGGGACCCACACGUCAGUGACAGGGGGUUAACCCCGAGUCAAACCUGGGCUGGUCAGCUUUGACUAAGCCCUGGGGCCCACUUGUCAGCGUCAGCGGGUGGGGAAUUAGUGACUAAUUAACAAGCCACGUCAGCCCGCCGGAGUUCUGGCCGGCGGCGACCAUUAGCGCGGCGGCGACUCGCCGGACUUGCGUUACAGACAGCGUUUGAUCGCGCGAAGACCACCGGGGCGUAGCCCGUCUUCGUCCGCAACCAGGGGAGCUGAUGGGGGGCUGCGGGGGCGCCGGAGCUCGCCGGAGCGGAGCUCGGGGCGGCGGCCGGAGUUCGGGAUAGCGCGGGCGUGGGGCUGCAGCUCGCGUUCGAGCGAACGGAGGGCACAGGCGGUAGCUACGAGGCAGUAGGAGCACAUCGAGCUAUCUACGCGAGACGGAGGUGCUCGGGGGGCACGGAGCUCGCCGGCCAUGGCGGACGGCGGCUUCGGGCGCUCGUGGGGCAGCGGCUACAGGGCACGCGCGAGAGAGAGAGGUGAGGGGAAAGGAAGAGAGGCUCACGGCGGACUCGCAGAGCAGGCCGGUGUGCUCGGGGACGUCCUGCGUCCGGCGAAUUGACGGUGAUGGCGGCGAGGUCGAUCUCCGUCGUCGGUGGUGAAGAAGACAAUGGCGUCGGCGAUGGAGCGCGUCCGGAGGUGCGUGGCUUGACGAGGAGGUAGAGGGGGUCGAGGCGGAGCUGGGAAGCGUCUCAGGGAGGCGAGGGGAGGCCGGUGGCCGUGGUGGUUCUCGUCGGCGACGGCGGUGGUUCUCGGGUGAGAGGGAGAGAGAGCAGGGGGAGAGGAGGAGGGCGAGGGAGAGUGAGAGCGGUGCGGGGCAGCGCGUGGCGACGUCCGGGGCAUCGAGGGCGAGAGAAGGAAGCAGGAGGUGGCCAGCAGGGGGGAGGUGGCGCGCGCGCGUGCCGGCGAGCGUCGGGCACACGCCCGUCCUCCUGGCAGAGGAGGAAGGCGACAGGGGAGGGGGGCCAGGCGGGCUGGGCCGCCUCCUGGCUGGGCCGGCCUGCUGCUGCUGGGCUGCGCAGGGGAGGGGAGGCCCAGGUAAGCCCCUCCUUCUUUUAUUUUUGUUUUCUAAUUUUUCUGACAUUUGUUUUGAUUUAAUAAAUAUAUUAAAUCAUUUAAUUUGAUUAUGCCAAUUUUUGCAGGAGCUGGAUAUUAUUAUUCCAGAGCUCUUUUAUAAAUGGCAUAAUUUUUGGGCCAUAUUUCAUAUAUAUAGAAAUAUAUUUCCAAUGCAAAUAUUUAUCGAAUUAAUCCAAUUGGCCAAAAUAAAUAACCAUGAGCUCCUAAAAAUAUUGUUUUGAUUUUUUUAUCUCUGUCCAAUAUUUUUAGAGGGCAUCAUGAGCAUUUCCUUGGACCCUUUUGGAGAAAUUUUUAUUUGGGUCAUUUUCAAAAUUGAUUUUGAGGGUUCCACCAAUCCUCAUUUCAAAUUUAAAUGAAAUUUAAACAUGAUGCACAAAUGACUAGCUAGUCUAGGUCAUACCAGACUAGGGAUGUGACAACUCGCCCCCACUUGACAGAAUCUCGUCUCGAGAUUCAGGGGUCGACGGAAAGAAAGCGGGGUACUCCAGUCGAAGACGAUCUUCUCGCUCCCAAGUAGCUUCUCUCUCGGAAUGAUGAGACCACUGAACUUUGAGAAACUUGAUGUUCUGACGUCGAGUAACACGCUCUACUUGAUCAAGAAUGCGAACCGGGUACUCUCGGUAUGUGAGGUUAUCUUGGAGAUCAAGCGUUUCGUGGUCCACUCCACGGAUAGGAUUCGAGAAGCAACGCCUGAGUUGAGAGACGUGGAAGACAUCAUGAACUCGAGAAAGAUGUGGGGGUAGUUCCAACUGGUAGGCAACCUCUCCUCGUUUAGCGAGAAUGCGAAAAGGACCAAUGUAACGAGGAGCCAACUUGCCCUUGAUACCGAAACGAUGGGUACCCUUCAAAGGAGUAACCCGAAGGUAAGCUUGGUCGCCAAUUUCAUAAGUCAUAUCCUUAUGAUGACGAUCGUACUGACCUUUCUGACGAGACUGGGCUGUUUUCAAAUUCUCACGAAUGAUGCGAACUUGCUCUUCUGCCUCCUGAAUCAUGUCCGGUCCAAAGAAUUGUCUUUCACCGGUUUCUGACCAGUUCAAAGGUGUUCGACAUCUUCGUCCAUAGAGAACCUCAAAAGGAGCUUGCUUGAGGCUGGAUUGGUAGCUAUUGUUAUAAGCAAACUCGGCAAAAGGAAGACAUUUCUCCCAAUCCAUACCGAAUGAGAUAACGCAAGCUCUAAGCAUCUCUUCGAGAAUUUGAUUGACCCGUUCCACCUGACCACUCGACUGAGGGUGGAAAGCGGUACUGAAGGAAAGAUGGGUUCCCAUGGCAGUUUGGAAGCUCUCCCAAAAAUGAGAAGUGAAAAGACUGCCACGGUCUGAAUUGAUCUCUAGUGGAACACCAUGAAGUGACACUAUUCGAGAAAUAUAUAAGUCAGCAAGCUGACUAGCAGUGAUAUUUUCUCGAACAGGGAGGAAGUGAGCCACUUUGGAAAGACGAUCAACGACUACGAAGAUAGCGUUGUUCCCUUUCUUGGUCCUGGGAAAGCCGGUAAUGAAGUCCAUACCAACUUUAUCCCAUUUCCAUUCAGGAAUAGCUAAAGGCUGAAGGGUGCCAGCAGGUCUUUGAUGCUCUGCUUUAACGCGACGACAUACGUCACAUUUAGCAAUGAACUCAGCGAUUUCUCUCUUCAUCCUAGUCCACCAGAACCUCUGGCGUAGGUCCUGAUACAUCUUAGUGCUACCGGGAUGAAUCGUGAGAGGGGAUUCAUGCGCCUCCUUAAGAAUCAAUUGUCGCAGAUGUUGAUUCUUGGGAACCACCAAGCGAUUCUCAAAGAAAACAACACCACGAUCAUCCAUAGAGAAACAUCGACCAACUCCCUUCUUAAUGUUUCUCUUGAUCCGGGAAAUUCCUGUGUCUUGCUUUUGAGCAGUGAUAAUCCGAUCUUCAAGAUCAGGUUUCGCCACCAGGGUAGAAAGGAAUCCGUGAGGAGCUAUGUGAAGGUUAAGCUUACAGAAUUCCUCAUGGAGAAGUGGUUGGCCUUGCUGCAACAUGAGAUUGUUGCAAUAGGAUUUACGGCUUAGAGCAUCAGCCAUGACAUUGGCUUUGCCUGGGGUGUAGGUAAUCCCUAGAUCAUAAUCUGUGAUCAACUCCAACCAACGUCUUUGCCUAAGGUUCAGAUCUGGUUGGGUGAAGAUAUACUUGAGACUCUGGUGAUCGGUGUAGAUCUCGCAACGUUUACCAAGGAGGUAAUGUCGCCAGGUCUUGAGUGCAUAGACUACGGCUGCAAGCUCUAGAUCAUGUGUAGGAUAAUUCUCCUCAUGUGGAUGCAACUGUCGAGAUGCAUAGGCAAUCACAUGACGAUCCUGCAUAAGAAUGCAACCUAGUCCCUGUCGUGAGGCGUCGCAGUAGAUAAUAAAGUCUUUAGUGAAAUCCGGUGGCACAAGUAUGGGAGCAGAAGUCAGGCGUCUUUUCAGUUCCUGAAAACUAUACUCACACUAUGGGGACCACUCGAACUUUUUAUCUUUCUUGAGAAGUUCCGUGAGGGGUUUGGCUACUUUGGAGAAGUUUUCAACAAAGCGGCGACAAUAGCUGGUUAGACCAAGGAAACUCCUAACUUGUUUGACUGUUUCAGGUGGAGUCCAAUCGAGAACGGCUUGAACUCUCUCAGGAUUGACAGCGAUGCCCUUACCAGAGAUUACGUGGCCUAGGUAGGUCACUUCUGGCAACCAAAAUUCACACUUGGAGAACUUGGCAUAAAGGCGGUGCUCUCUGAGUUUUUCUAACACAAGUCUAAGAUGUUCAGCAUGCUCUUCCUCGUUCUUCGAGUAGAUAAGAAUAUCGUCGAGGUAAACCACGACGAACUUAUCUAAGUACUCCAUGAAGAUCGAGUUCAUCAAACGGGAGAAUGUGGCUGGGGCGUUGGUUAGGCCAAAGGACAUGACGGUGUACUCGUACUGACCAUAACGAGUGACAAAAGCUGUCUUGGGAAUGUCCCCAUUCCUGAUCUUGAUUUGAUGGUAGCCUAACCUUAAAUCCAUCUUGGAAAAGACUGAGGAUCCAGCGAGCUGAUCAUACAGGUCGUUGAUCCUGGGAAGCGGAUACUUGUUCUUUAUCGUGACCAAAUUAACGGGACGAUAAUCUACAACCAUCCGGUCCGUACCGUCUUUCUUCUUGACGAAGAGGACGGGGCAAGCCCAAGGAGAAGAACUAGGACGGAUGAAACCCUUUUGCAAGGACUCAUCGAGUUGUUUCUUAAGCUCAGCUAGUUCUAAGGGUGCCAUCUUGUAAGGUCUCCGGGAGAUUGGAGCUGUUCCUGGGAUAAGAUCUAUGACGAACUCUACAUCUCUGUCAGGCGGAACACCUGGCAGUUCCUCUGGAAAGACAUCCGGAAAGUCACGGACUACCGAGAUAUCUUCAAGGUCUGGAAGAGGGCUGGCAUUAAGGGAAUAGAGCUGACGCUUUGCAACUCUAGUGGAGACGGUGACUAUCUUGCCAGAUGGGUGUGUGAGCUGAACAGACCUGGUGAAACAAUCAAUCUUGGCAUGAUGAGCUGUCAUCCAGUCCAUACCCAAGAUGAUGUUAAUAUCCGAAGACUUGAGAGAUAUCAAGGAGGCAAGGAAUGCAAGUCUGUCCACAAGGAUUUCAUUGCCAUAACUUAUCCUAGAAGUUUGCCAUUUGGAUCCAGGAGUUUGAAUAAGUAGUGGAGAGGGCAUAUCACAAAAUGACAUGUCGUGCAAACGGGCAUAGCUUUCAGAAAUGAAGGAAUGAGACGCUCCAGUAUCGAAUAGAACUGAUGCUGGGUGACAAUUAACGAGGAGUGUGCUAAGAACGACAUCUGGAUCACCAUGAGCGGCUUUAGCUGAGACAUGAUGCACACGUCCAUGUUCAGUGGGAGCUGACUUGGCACUGACCAUCUUGCGUGAUGGCUUACCAUGGACGAUAGACUUCUCGGGCUGGGGUGGAGCAACUCUGGUCUGAGUGCAAAUACGGGCAAUGUGGCCUGGCUCUCCGCACUUGUAACAAAUCUUGGAGGUAGGAUGUGGACCUGCAUUGGAAAGCGGUCCACCAAUAGGCCUGGGUGGAGCAUACUGCUGAGCUUGAUGAGGUGCCACAUAAGAUGGCCUCGGUACAUAUUUGGGCGGAAGAGCAGAGUUUGGAACCCAAAUCCGGCGCUUCUGAGAGCUAGAACCGGAGGAAGAUCCCAAAGCACGAGUGUGCUUACGAGACUCCUCGUAAGUGAGUUGAGCUGUCUCUGCAUUAAUGGCCUUGUUCACAAGGGCUUGGAAUGUACCACAAUGAUGCAGAUGGAGAUCACGACGCAACUUGGGGUUGAGACCCUUCCGGAACCUAGCCUGCUUCUUGGCGUCCGUGGACACCUCUUCUGUGGCAUAGCGGGCGAGGUUCUCAAACUCUCUACUAUAGGCAUCAACAGCCAUUUUAUCCUGGGUGAAACUACAGAACUCUUCUCUCUUGCGAUCAAGGAGGGCCUGGGGAAUGUGAUGCUCACGAAAAGACUCAGUGAAAUCCUUCCAGGUAGGAAUCUGGCCGGCUGGAAGCAAAGUCUCAUAGUUCUGCCACCAAAGACUAGCAGGACCUUCCAGGUGGUAUGUGGCAUAAGUGACCUUGUCAUCUUCAGCUACGUUCGCGGAACACAGCUUAUGGGUGAUGCUACGGAGCCAGUCAUCUGCAUCGAGUGGCUCGAUGGAAUGAUGAAAGAUAGGUGGAUGCAAGCGGAUAAAGUCAUGAAUGGUCACAGGCUUAUUGGACUGAUGUGCGGUGUUCUCCUCGAUACGUGCCAACAAGCGGUUGGACUCACGCUUGUUCCUCUCCAUCUCUAGCAUGAACUCUGUCAACGAAGGCUGAUCAGGAGGAUCCUCAUCCCUACCAUCUCCAUGGUUCUGGCUACGAGCAACGGAACUUCGCUUAGCUGAUGACAUCCUGAGAAACGAAACCAAGGACGAAAUCAACAUUAACUAUGGCCUGUAGAAUGUAGGACAAGGAAUUAGUAUCUCUCGAACUCCUAGGGAAAUUUCGGCAGCAUAACGGCAGUAAAAUGCUCAGAAUGAGACAUCCUACUAAAAAUGGGGUGGUAACAUACUCAAGGUUCUGAGAUCAUACUAAACAGACUACACCGGAAAUACUCAAGCUGGGGUAUGACUCUAAUCAACCAGUCUUAUGGAACUACGGAGUAGUAACACGUGAUCCUGAUAGACGGAAGAGAAGCCUAGUUCCUUAACCCUGUCGGAAAGAUAGGAUGACUCAGAUCAGAAGGCCAUGAGGUAAAGGAGUAAAAAGAGCCUUACGUUCCAUCCCACAAUCAAUUCCCUUAUAUAACUAAAGAAUUUCUAGACUCAACUUCGACCAGGUUGGCUUGGUAAACCUACAGGCAGUCAAGCUCUGAUACCAACGCUGUCAGGACCCCGACUCGAUGCCACAUCGAUCUAGCAUGUAACACCUUAUAUCACUUUGUGGCCUCACGCACGGUAUCCCCACGGGUGUCGUCUUACCUUUGCCCGGGACCGUUUGCGCAUUUUGGCACACGUAUAUGAUGGUGUCGCUAGCAUCCAUAUGAUAAAGAGCCCGGGCUGACAUGACUAGUCGUAAACCCAAAGUGGCACAGACUUACAGGGACAGGCAUCCAUGACCCAGCUUCGAACGUGUCGGUCAUCAGCAAGUGGGUUCGGGCUGUAGCACUGGGCUAGCAGGACUCCGGUAAACCGGGCUGUAGCGGGCUAACAGGACUCCGGUACUCAAAGCGUGACAUUUCCCCGAAGGGACAGACACAGGAACGAAGAAGGACACAUGCCGGCCAGCCUAAGUGUUCCAGAGCAGUAGCAAGCUACCAUGGCUCAGCGGUAACACUAGGAGACAUUUCCCGGUAAGAGAGGCUACUAAAGAUAAACAACUAGAUAGUCAGAUCCCACACAUAGCAAUACACAUUACACGUACGCAUAACAUGCAAGUAUGUGCUGUACAACAUGGCAUCACAGCAUAACUCAACAACUCAUAUAGAUAAAGGCUCAGAAGAGCCAUCACAGCAUUUAUUGCAAACAGGGGUCACAAGACCCGUCAUACAGAGCAUACAAGCAACAAGCGGAAGCAUUACAUGUCUGGGUACAGACAUCUAUAAAUGAAAAAGGCUGAAGAGCCUGACUAUCCACAACAUCCGAUCAAGAUCGUAGCUGAGGUACUAGCUACUAGUCGAAGUCCACGAGAACACUAGUAAGACCGAAGUCUCCGCUGCAAAAACAUAAAUAAAGCAACAUGAGUACAAAGGUACUCAGCAAGACUUACAUCAGAUCCUAUCAUACAUGCAUUUGUAUCAAGAGGGUAAUGUGGGGUUUAGUUGCAGCAAGCCAGCUUUGACUCUGUGGCUAUCCUAUUCUACGACUACCAGAAACUCUGGAGGUGAAAUAACGUACACGAGUCCACUAAUCACCACACAAUACACUACUAUGGAUUCAUCCCCGUCUCCCUACGAGAAGGCCAUCCAUAGCACUCACACUUGUCUUGAGCAUUUUAUAGUAUCCACUUCAAGUUGUCUAUGUACCAUGUAAGCAUCCAAGAAGUCCAUAACCGCGGACCCGGCUAUUCGAAUAGAUCAUGUUAACCCUGCAGGGGUGUACCUCUUCACACACGCUCUCGCCACUUACCGCCAUGUACACGUCAUGUAUCUCGGCAACCUUCAAGCGGAAGCCUGGCGAGGGUGUCGGCCACGACCUGACUAACCACACAAGACUCUAAUCCAGGUUUAUCGCCUAUUCGGGUUCCAUCCGCAAGGAGAUCCGGCCGGGGUUUCACUCACGGCCCCAAACGAUGUGUGCAGGGUUCCCAAGCCCACCUUGCCGGAUGGAUCUACGCUUGGUACACCGUGCCACUGGUGCCUAGUCUGUCCCAAGCCCACCUGGCCGGGUGCCACUUGGUAGACUACUAACACUACCUACAAACGCCAGAAACUAGUUGCGACUCCUGGACAGAGAUCAAGUUGAUUAAUAAGUCGAGAGGGCUUGGAGCGCCCGGAGCCCAAUGUGUGGUAGUAUCGAGUCAUUGGACAACAUACAUAGAACUCAGUGCUUAAGGACGGUUCCAGUGAGACAACCCACCAUGUACUCCUACAUGGCCUCUCACCGCUACCUUUACCAAAUCGUGUUCACACACUUCACUCUCAGCAUAGAACAUAUCGUGACACUCCAAUUCAUUCCCAAUGAACCAGACCUGACACACUCUAAGCAAUAGCAGGCAUAGCAUGGUAGGAACACAUCAGUGGCUUCAAUCAACUCCUACACAUGCUAGUGGGUUUCAACUAUUUACUGUGGCAAUGACAGGUCAUGCAGAGGAAUGGGUUCAGCUACCGCAGCACAAAGUAGCAGAUGAAUCGUUGUUGUCCUAAUGCAAUAACUGAGAGCAGGAGCGAGAGAGUAGGGUUUUAUCGAAAUGAACAAGGGGGUUUGCUUGCCUGGUAAAACAACAGGGGAGGCACUGCUUCACAGACAGGUACUCUGGAACGUCUCCGGAGCAGGAUCUAUCGAGAAGGAACAGUGCCGGCAAUCAAUACACAAUCAUAUGCAACAAUAUGAUGCAUGAACAUGGCAUGUAGAUGUGAUGCUGUUGAGCUAAUGCAACUAGUGUUCAAUUGGUUUGAAGUCCAUUUGAACCAAAGGUUCAAAUGCAUUUCUAAAUUAGGUCUCUUAUAUAAGCCAUAAUGUGUUUCCCAUAUUCAGCAUGUAUAAGUUGGUUUUUCAUGCAUGAAACUAGUACAGAUGGAAAGGUUGCAUUUUUCUGAUAAUUUUUCAUAUAUAAAUUAUUUAAAUCUGAGCUACGGUUGAAUUGUUAUGAAUUUUUGAAGUUUAAAUCAAUUUCUGGAUUUUCUGAAUUAUUUUAAUUCCAGAAAAUGUAUAAUUGCGUCAGCAUGACGUCAUCAUUGCAUCAGCGGUCAACGCGGCUGUCCAGGUCAAAUCUGACGUGUGGGACCCACACGUCAGUGACAGGGGGUUAACCCCGAGUCAAACCUGGGCUGGUCAGCUUUGACUAAGCCCUGGGGCCCACUUGUCAGCGUCAGCGGGUGGGGAAUUAGUGACUAAUUAACAAGCCACGUCAGCCCGCCGGAGUUCUGGCCGGCGGCGACCAUUAGCGCGGCGGCGACUCGCCGGACUUGCGUUACAGACAGCGUUUGAUCGCGCGAAGACCACCGGGGCGUAGCCCGUCUUCGUCCGCAACCAGGGGAGCUGAUGGGGGGCUGCGGGGGCGCCGGAGCUCGCCGGAGCGGAGCUCGGGGCGGCGGCCGGAGUUCGGGAUAGCGCGGGCGUGGGGCUGCAGCUCGCGUUCGAGCGAACGGAGGGCACAGGCGGUAGCUACGAGGCAGUAGGAGCACAUCGAGCUAUCUACGCGAGGCGGAGGUGCUCGGGGGGCACGGAGCUCGCCGGCCAUGGCGGACGGCGGCUUCGGGUGCUCGUGGGGCAGCGGCUACAGGGCACGCGCGAGAGAGAGAGGUGAGGGGAAAGGAAGAGAGGCUCACGGCGGACUCGCAGAGCAGGCCGGUGUGCUUGGGGACGUCCUGCGUCCGGCGAAUUGACGGUGAUGGCGGCGAGGUCGAUCUCCGUCGUCGGUGGUGAAGAAGACAACGGCGUCGGUGAUGGAGCGCGUCCGGAGGUGCGUGGCUUGACGAGGAGGUAGAGGGGGUCGAGGCGGAGCUGGGAAGCGUCUCAGGGAGGCGAGGGGAGGCCGGUGGCCGUGGUGGUUCUCGUCGGCGACGGCGGUGGUUCUCGGGUGAGAGGGAGAGAGAGCAGGGGGAGAGGAGGAGGGCGAGGGAGAGUGAGAGCGGUGCGGGGCAGCGCGUGGCGACGUCCGGGGCAUCGAGGGCGAGAGAAGGAAGCAGGAGGUGGCCAGCAGGGGGGAGGUGGCGCGCGCACGUGCCGGCGAGCGUCGGGCACACGCCCGUCCUCCUGGCAGAGGAGGAAGGCGACAGGGGAGGGGGGCCAGGCGGGCCGGGCCGCCUCCUGGCUGGGCCGGCCUGCUGCUGCUGGGCUGCGCAGGGGAGGGGAGGCCCAGGUAAGCCCCUCCUUCUUUUAUUUUUGUUUUCUAAUUUUUCUGACAUUUGUUUUGAUUUAAUAAAUAUAUUAAAUCAUUUAAUUUGAUUAUGCCAAUUUUUGCAGGAGCUGGAUAUUAUUAUUCCAGAGCUCUUUUAUAAAUGGCAUAAUUUUUGGGCCAUAUUUCAUAUAUAUAGAAAUAUAUUUCCAAUGCAAAUAUUUAUCGAAUUAAUCCAAUUGGCCAAAAUAAAUAACCAUGAGCUCCUAAAAAUAUUGUUUUGAUUUUUUUAUCUCUGUCCAAUAUUUUUAGAGGGCAUCAUGAGCAUUUCCUUGGACCCUUUUGGAGAAAUUUUUAUUUGGGUCAUUUUCAAAAUUGAUUCUGAGGGUUCCACCAAUCCUCAUUUCAAAUUUAAAUGAAAUUUAAACAUGAUGCACAAAUGACUAGCUAGUCUAGGUCAUACCAGACUAGGGAUGUGACAUUGCCCAAUGAUCGGCAAGCAAUUGAGAAUAAAUGGAUCUUCAAGAAGAAGAGUGACGCCGACGGUAAUAUUACUGUCUACAAAGCUCGACUUGUCUCAAAAGGGUUUCGGCAAGUUUAAGGGGUUGACUACGAUGAGACCUUCUCACCCGUAGUAAUGCUUAAGUCUGUCCGAAUCAUGUUAGCAAUUGCCGCAUUUUAUGAUUAUGAAAUUUGGCAGAUGGAUGUCAAAACUGCAUUCCUGAAUGGAUUUCUAGAAGAAGAGUUGUAUAUGAUGCAACCGGAAGGUUUUGUCGAUCCAAAGGGAGCUAACAAAGUGUGCAAGCUCCAGCGAUCCAUUUAUGGACUGGUGCAAGCCUCUCGGAGUUGGAAUGAACGCUUUGAUAGUGUGAUCAAAGCAUUUGGUUUUAUACAGACUUUUGGAGAAGCCUGUAUUUACAAGAAAGUGAGUGGGAACUCUGUAGCAUUUCUGAUAUUAUAUGUGGAUGACAUAUUACUGAUCGGAAAUGAUAUAGAAUUUCUGGAUAGCAUAAAGGGAUACUUGAAUAAGAGUUUUUCAAUGAAAGACCUCGGUGAAGCUGCUUACAUAUUAGGCAUAAAGAUCUAUAGAGAUAGAUCAAGACGUUUAAUUGGACUUUCACAAAGCACAUACCUUGAGAAGAUUUUGAAGAAGUUCAAAAUGGAUCAAGCAAAGAAAGGGUUCUUGCCUGUGUUACAAGGUGUGAAGUUGAGUCAGACUCAAUGCCCGACCACUGCAGAAGAUAGAGAGAAAAUGAAAGAUGUUCCCUAUGCUUCAGCCAUAGGCUCUAUCAUGUAUGCAAUGCUGUGUACGAGACCUGAUGUGUGCCUUUCUAUAAGUCUAGCAGGGAGGUACCAAAGUAAUCCAGGAGUGGAUCACUGGACAGCGGUCAAGAACAUCCUGAAGUACCUGAAAAGGACUAAGGAUAUGUUUCUCGUAUAUGGAGGUGACAAAGAGCUCAUCGUAAACAGUUACAUUGAUGCAAGCUUUGACACUGAUCCGGACGAUUCUAAAUCGCAAACUGGAUACGUGUUAACAUUAAACAGUGGAGCUGACAGUUGGUGCAGUUCUAAACAAAGCGUCGUGGUGGGAUCUACGUGUGAAGCGGAAUACAUAGCUGCUUCAGAAGCAACAAAUGAAGGAGUCUGGAUGAAGGAGUUCAUAUCCGAUCUAGGUGUCAUACCUAGUGCGUCGGGUCCAAUGAAAAUCUUUUGUGACAAUACUGGUGCAAUUGCCUUGGCGAAGGAAUCCAGAUUUUACAAGAGAACCAAGCACAUCAAGAGACACUUCAAUUCCAUCCGGGAUCUAGUCCAGGUGGGAGGCAUAGAGAUUUGCAAGAUACAUACGGAUCUGAAUGUUGCAGACCCGUUGACUAAGCCUCUUCCACGAGCAAAACAUGAUCAGCACCAAGGCUCCAUGGGUGUUAGAAUCAUUACUGUGUAAUCUAGAUUAUUGACUCUAGUGCAAGUGGGAGACUAAAGGAAAUAUGCCCUAGAGGCAAUAAUAAAGUUAUUAUUUAUUUCCUUAUAUCAUGAUAAAAGUUUAUUAUUCAUGCUAGAAUUGUAUUAACCGGAAACAUAAUACAUGUGUGAAUACAUAGACAAACAGAGUGUCACUAGUAUGCCUCUACUUGACUAGCUCGUUAAUCAAAGAUGGUUAUGUUUCCUAACCAUGGACAAAGAGUUGUUAUUUGAUUAACGGGAUCACAUCAUUAGUUGAAUGAUCUGAUUGACAUGACCCAUUCCAUUAGCUUAGCACCCGAUCGUUUAGUAUGUUGCUAUUGCUUUCUUCAUGACUUAUACAUGUUCCUAUGACUAUGAGAUUAUGCAACUCCCGUUUGCCAGAGGAACACUUUGUGUGCUACCAAACAUCACAACGUAACUGGGUGAUUAUAAAGGAGCUCUACAGGUGUCUCCAAAGGUACAUGUUGGGUUGGCGUAUUUCGAGAUUAGGAUUUGUCACUCCGAUUGUCGGAGAGGUAUCUCUGGGCCCUCUCGGUAAUGCACAUCACUUAAGCCUUGCAAGCAUUGCAACUAAUGAGUUAGUUGCGGGAUGAUGUAUUACAGAACGAGUAAAGAGACUUGCCGAUAAAGAGAUUGAACUAGAUAUUGAGAUACCGACGAUCGAAUCUCGGGCAAGUAACAUACCGAUGACAAAGGGAACGACGUAUGUUGUUAUGCAGUCUGACCGAUAAAGAUCUUCGUAGAAUAUGUAGGAGCCAAUAUGAGCAUCCAGGUUCUGCUAUUGGUUAUUGACCGGAGACGUGUCUCGGUCAUGUCUACAUUGUUCUCGAACCCGUAGGGUCCGCACGCUUAAGGUUUCGAUGACAAUUAUAUUAUGAGUUUAUGAGUUUUGAUGUACCGAAGUUAGUUCAGAGUCCCGGAUGUGAUCACGGACAUGACGAGGAGUCUCGAAAUGGUCGAGACAUAAAGAUUGAUAUAUUGGACGGCUAUAUUCGGACACCGGAAGUGUUCCGGGUGAUUUCGGAGAAAACCGGAGAGCCGGAGGGUUACCGGAACCCCCCCGGGAGAAGUAAUGGGCCAUAUGGGCCUUAGUGGAGAGAGAGAGGGGCAGCCAAAGGUGGGCCGCGCGCCUCCUCCCCCCUGGUCCGAAUUGGACUAGGAGAGGGGGGGCGGCGCCCCCCUUUCCCUUUCUCUCCCCACUUCCUUCCCCCUCCUAGUAGGAGUCCUACUCCUACUAGGAGGAGGACUCCUCCUUGGCGCGCCUAUAGGGCCGGCCGGCCUCCUCCCCUUGCUCCUUUAUAUACGGGGGCAGAGGGCACCCCUAGACACACAAGUUGAUCCACGUGAUCAUAUUCUUAGCCGUGUGCGGUGCCCCCUUCCACCAUAGUCCUCGAUAAUAUUGUAGCGGUGCUUAGGCGAAGCCCUGCGACGGUAGUACAUCAAGAUCGUCACCAUGCCAUCGUGCUGACGGAACUCUUCCCCGACACUUUGCUGGAUCGGAGUCCGGGGAUCGUCAUCGAGCUGAACAUGUGCUAGAACUCGGAGGUGCCGUAGUUUCGGUGCUUGAUCGGUCGGGCCGUGGAGACGUACGACUACAUCAACCAAGUUAACGCUUCCGUUGUCGAUCUACAAGGGUACGUAGAUCACACUCUCCCCCUCUUGUUGCUACGCAUCACCAUGAUCUUGCGUGUGCGUAGGAAAUUUUUUGAAAUUACUACGUUCCCCUACAAUAUGGUCACAACAUGAUGCUAAAUUUUAUUGUAUGAGAUGAUCAUGUUUUGUAACCGAGUUAUCGGCAACUGGCAGGAGCCAUAUGGUUGUCGCUUUAUUGUAUGCAAUGCAAUUGCACUGUAAUGCUUUACUUUAUCACUAAACGGUAGCAAUAGUCGUGGAAGCAUAAGAUUGGCGAGACGACAACGAUACUAUGAUGGUGAUCAAGGUGUUGCGCUGGUGACGAUGGUGAUCAUGACGGUGCUUCGAAGAUGAAGAUCACAAGCACAAGAUGAUGAUGGCCAUAUCAUAUCACUUAUAUUGAUUGCAUGUGAUGUUUAUCUUUUAUGCAUCUUAUCUUGCUUUGAUUGACGGUAGCAUUAUAAGAUGAUUCCUCACUAAAUUUUCAAAGUAUAAGUGUUCUUCCUGAGUAUGCACCGUUGCGAAAGUUCUUCAUGCUGAGACACCACGUGAUGAUCGGGGGUGAUAGGCUCUACGUUCAAAUACAACGGGUGCAAAACAGUUGCACAUGCGGAAUACUCAGGUUUAACUUGACGAGCCUAGCAUAUAACAGAUAUGGCCUCGGAACACGGAGACCGAAAGGUCGAGUGUGAAUCAUAUAGUAGAUAUGAUCAACAUAUUGAUGUUCACCAUUGAUACUACUCCAUCUCACAUGAUGAUCGGACAUGGUUUAGUUGAUUUGGAUCACGUGAUCACUUAGAGGAUUAGAGGGAUAUCUUUCUAAGUGGGAGUUCUUAAGUAAUAUGAUUAAUUGAACUUAAAUUUAUCAUGAACUUAGUACCUGAUAGUAUCUUGCUUGUCUAUGUUUGAUUGUAGAUAGAUGGCUCGUGUUGUUGUUCCGUUGAAAUUUAAUGCGUUCCUUGAGAAAACAAAGUUGAAAGAUGAUGGUAGCAAUUACACAAACUGGGUUCGUAACUUGAGGAUUAUCCUCAUUGCUGUACAGAAGAAUUAUGUCCUGGAAGCACUGCUAAGUGUCAAGCCUGCUGCAGGAGCAACACCAGAUGUUAUGAACGUCUGGCAGAGCAAAGCUGAUGACUACUCGAUAGUUCAGUGUGCCAUGCUUUACGGCUUAGAACCGGGUCUUCAACGACGUUUUGAACGUCAUGGAACAUAUGAGAUGUUCCAGGAGUUGAAGUUAAUAUUUCAAGCAAAUGCCCGGAUUGAGAGAUAUGAAGUCUCCAAUAAGUUCUAUAGCUGCAAGAUGGAGGAGAAUAGUUCUGUCAGUGAACAUAUACUCAAAAUGUCUGGGUAUCAUAAUCACUUAACUCAACUAGGGGUUAAUCUUCCUGUUGAUAGUGUCAUUGACAGAGUUCUUCAAUCACUGCCACCAACCUACAAAAGCUUCGUGAUAAACUAUAAUAUGCAAGGGAUGAAUAAGACUAUUCCUAAGCUCUUCGCAAUGCUAAAAGCCGCAAAGGUAGAAAUCAAGAAGGAGCAUCAAGUGUUGAUGGUCAAUAAGACCACCAGUUUCAAGAAAAAGGGCAAAGGAAAGAAGAAAGGGAACUUCAGGAAGAACAGCAAACAAGUUGCUGCUCAGGAGAAGAAACCCAAGUCUGGACCUAAGCCUGAGACUGAGUGCUUCUACUGCAAGCAAACUGGUCACUGGAAGCGGAACUACCCCAAGUAUUUGGCGGAUAAGAAGGAUGGCAAAGUGAACAAAGGUAUAUGUGAUAUACAUGUUAUUGAUGUGUACCUUACUAAUACUCGCAGUAGCACCUGGGUAUUUGAUACUGGUUCUGUUGCUAACAUUUGCAACUCGAAACAGGGGCUAUGGAUUAAGCGAAGAUUGGCUAAGGAUGAGGUGACGAUGCGCGUGGGAAAUGGUUCCAAAGUUGAUGUGAUCGCGGUCGGCACGCUACCUCUACAUCUACCUUCAGGAUUAGUAUUAGACCUAAAUAAUUGUUAUUUGGUGCCAGCGUUGAGCAUGAACAUUAUAUCUGGAUCUUGUUUGAUGCGAGACGGUUAUUCAUUUAAAUCAGAGAAUAAUGGUUGUUCUAUUUAUAUGAGUAAUAUCUUUUAUGGUCAUGCACCCUUGAAGAGUGGUCUAUUUUUGAUGAAUCUCGAUGGUAGUGAUACAUAUAUUCAUAAUGUUGAAAUCAAAAGAUGCAGAGUUGAUAAUGAUAGUGCAACUUAUUUGUGGGACUGCCGUUUAGGUCAUAUCGAUGUAAAGCGCAUGAAGAAACUCCAUACUGAUGGACUUUUGGAACCACUUGAUUAUGAAUCACUUGGUACUUGCAAACCGUGCCUCAUGGGUAAGAUGACUAAAACGCAGUUCUCCGGUACUAUGGAGAGAGCAACAGAUUUGUUGGAAAUCAUACAUACAGAUGUAUGUGGUCCAAUGAAUGUUGAGGCUCGUGGCGGAUAUCGUUAUUUUCUCACCUUCACAGAUGAUUUAAGCAGAUAUGGGUAUAUCUACUUAACGAAACAUAAGUCUGAAACAUUUGAAAAGUUCAAAGAAUUUCAGAGUGAAGUUGAAAAUCAUCGUAACAAGAAAAUAAAGUUUCUACGAUCUGAUCGUGGAGGAGAAUAUUUGAGUUACGAGUUUGGUCUACAUUUGAAACAAUGCGGAAUAGUUUCGCAACUCACACCACCCGGAACACCACAGCGUAAUGGUGUGUCCGAACAUCGUAAUCGUACUUUAUUAGAUAUGCUGCGAUCUAUGAUGUCUCUUACUGAUUUACCGUUAUCAUUUUGGGGUUAUGCUUUAGAGAUGGCUGCAUUCACGUUAAAUAGGACACCAUCGAAAUCCGUUAAGACGGCGCCUUAUGAACUGUGGUUUGGCAAGAAACCAAAGUUGUCAUUUCUAAAAGUUUGGGGCUGCGAUGCUUAUGUGAAAAAGCUUCAACCUGAUAAGCUCGAACCCAAAUCGGAGAAAUGUGUCUUCAUAGGAUACCCAAAGGAGACUGUUGGGUACACCUUCUAUCACAGAUCCGAAGGCAAGACUUUUGUUGCUAAAUUCAGAGUUUUUCUAGAGAAGGAGUUUCUCUCGAAAGAAGUGAGUGGGAGAAAAGUAGAACUUGAUGAGGUAACUGUACCUACUUCCUUAUUGGAAAGUAGUACAUCACAGAAACCGGUUUCUGUGACACCUACACCAAUUAGUGAGGAAGCUAAUGAUAUUGAUCAUGAAACUUCAGAUCAAGUUACUACCAAACCUCGUAGAUCAACCAGAGUAAGAUCCGCACCAGAGUGGUACGGUAAUCCUGUUCUGGAAGUCAUGCUACUAGAUCAUGAUGAACCUACAAACUAUGAAGAAGCGAUGGUGAGCCCAGAUUCCUCAAAAUGGCUAGAAGCCAUGAAAUCUAAGAUGGGAUCCAUGUAUGAGAAUAAAGUGUGGACUUUCUUUGACUUGCCCGUUGAUCGGCAAGCAAUUGAGAAUAAAUGGAUCUUCAAGAAGAAGACUGACGCUGACGGUAAUGUUACAGUCUAUAAAGCUCGACUUGUUGCAAAAGAUUUUCGACAAGUUCAAGGGAUUGACUACGAUGAGACCUUCUCACCUGUAGCGAUGUUUAAGUCUAUCCGAAUCAUGUUAGCAAUUGCCGCAUUUUAUGAUUAUGAAAUUUGGCAAAUGGAUGUCAAAACUGCAUUCCUGAAUGGAUUUCUGGAAGAAGAGUUGUAUAUGAUGCAACCAGAAGGUUUUGUUGAUCCAAAGGGAGCUAACAAAGUAUGCAAGCUCCAGCGAUCCAUUUAUGGACUGGUGCAAGCCUCUCGGAGUUGGAAUAAACGCUUUGAUAGUGUGAUCAAAGCAUUUGGUUUUGUACAGACUUUUGGAGAAGCCUGUAUUUACAAAAAAGUGAGUGGGAGCUCUGUAGCAUUUCUGAUAUUAUAUGUGGAUGGCAUAUUAUUGAUUGGAAAUGAUAUAGAAUUUCUGAAUAGCAUAAAGGGAUACUUGAAUAAGAGCUUUUCAAUGAAAGACCUCGGUGAAGCUGCUUACAUAUUAGGCAUAAAGACCUAUAGAGAUAGAUCAAAACGCUUAAUUGGACUUUCACAAACAACAUACCUUGACAAAAUUUUGAAGAAGUUCAAAAUGGAUCAAGCAAAGAAGAUUCUUGCCUGUGUUACAAGGUGUGAAAUUGAGUAAGACUCAAUGCCCGACCACUGCAGAAGAUAGAGAGAAUAUGAAAGAUGUUCCCUAUGCUUCAGCGAUAGGAUCUAUCAUGUAUGCAAUGCUGUGUACCAGACCUGAUGUGUGCCUUGCUAUAAGUCUAGCAGGGAGGUACCAAAGUAAUCCAGGAGUGGAUCACUGGACAGCGGUCAAGAACAUCCUGAAAUACCUGAAAAGGACUAAGGAUAUGUUUCUCGUAUAAGGAGGUGACAAAGAGCUCAUCGUAAAUGGUUACGUUGAUGCAAGCUUUGACACUGAUCCAGACGAUUCUAAAUCGCAAACCGGAUACAUGUUUUUACUGAACGGUGGAGCUGUCAGUUGGUGCAGUUCUAAACAAAGCGUUGUGGCGGGAUCUACAUGUGAAGCAGAGUACAUAGCUGCUUCGGAAGCAUCAAAUGAAGGAGUCUGGAUGAAGGAGUUCAUAUACGAUCUAGGUGUCAUACCUAGUGCAUUGAGUCCAAUGAAAAUCUUUUGUGACAAUAAUGGUGCAAUUGCCUUGGCAAAGGAAUCCAGAUUUCACAAGAGAACCAAGCACAUCAAGAGAUGCUUCAAUUCCAUUCGGGAUUUAGUCCAAGUGGGAGACAUAGAAAUUUGCAAGAUACAUACGGAUCUGAAUGUUGCAGACCCGCUGACUAAGCCUCUUCCAUGAGCAAAACAUGAUCAACACCAAGGCUCCAUGGGUGUUAGAAUCAUUACUGUGUAAUCUAGAUUAUUGACUCUAGUGCAAGUGGGAGACUGAAGGAAAUAUGCCCUACAGGCAAUAAUAAAGUUAUUAUUUAUUUCCUUAUAUCAUGAUAAAUGUUUAUUAUUCAUGCUAGAAUUGUAUUAACCGGAAACAUAAUACAUGUGUGAAUACAUAGACAAACAUAGUGUCACUAGUAUGCCUCUACUUGACUAGCUCGUUGAUCAAAGAUGGUUAUGUUUCCUAACCAUAGACAUGAGUUGUCAUUUGAUUAAUGGGAUCACAUCAUUAGGAGAAUGAUGUGAUUGACUUGACCCAUUUCGUUAGCUUAGCACUUGAUCGUUUAGUUUGUUGCUAUUGCUUUCUUCAUGACUUAUACAUGUUCCUAUGACUAUGAGAUUAUGCAACUCCCGUUUACCGGGGGAACACUUUGUGUGCUACCAAACGUCACAACGUAACUGGGUGAUUAUAAAGGUGCUCUACAGGUGUCUCCGAAGGUACUUGUUGGGUUGGCGUAUUUCGAGAUUAGGAUUUGUCACUCCGAUUGUCGGAGAGGUAUCUCUGGGCCCUCUCGGUAAUGCACAUCACAUAAGCCUUGCAAGCAUUGCAACUAAUAAGUUAGUUGCGGGAUGAUGUAUUACGGAACGAGUAAAGAGACUUGCGGUAACGAGAUUGAACUAGGUAUUGAGAUACCGAUGAUCAAAUCUCGGACAAGUGACAUACCGAUGACAAAGGGAACAACGUAUGUUGUUAUGCGGUCUGACCGAUAAAAGAUCUUCGUAGAAUAUGUAGGAACCAAUAUGAGCAUCCAGGUUCCGCUAUUGGUUAUUGACCGGAGACGUGUCUCGGUCAUGUCUACAUUGUUCUCGAACCCAUAGGGUCCGCACGCUUAACGUUACGAUGAUAGUUUCAUUAUGAGUUUAUAUAUUUUGAUGUACCGAAGGUUGUUCGGAGUUCUGGAUGUGAUCACGAACAUAACGAGGAGUCUCGAAAUAGUCGAGACAUAAAGAUUGAUAUAUUGGAUGACUAUAUUCGGACACAGGAAUGGUUCCGGGAGUUAUCGNNNNNNNNNNNNNNNNNNNNNNNNNNNNNNNNNNNNNNNNNNNNNNNNNNNNNNNNNNNNNNNNNNNNNNNNNNNNNNNNNNNNNNNNNNNNNNNNNNNNNNNNNNNNNNNNNNNNNNNNNNNNNNNNNNNNNNNNNNNNNNNNNNNNNNNNNNNNNNNNNNNNNNNNNNNNNNNNNNNNNNNNNNNNNNNNNNNNNNNNNNNNNNNNNNNNNNNNNNNNCGGCGCCCCCCUUUCCUUUCUCUCCUCUCUCCCUUCCUUCCCCCUCUCCUAGUUGGACAAGGAAAGGAGGGAGUCCUACUCCCGGUAGGAGUAGGACUCCUCCCUGGCGCGCCUCCUCCUGGCCGGCCGCCCCUCCCCCUUGCUCCUUUAUAUACGGGGGCAGGGGGCACCUCUAGACACAACAAUUGAUCCUUGAGAUCUAUUAGCCGUGUGCGGUGCCCUCCUCCACCAUAAUCCUCGAUAAUAUUGUAGCGGUGCUUAGGCGAAGCCCUGCGACGAUAGAACAUCAAGAUCGUCACCACGCCGUCGUGCUGACGGAACUGAACGCCGUCGUGCUGACGGAACCGCCGACAUUCUGCUGGAUCGGAGUCCGGGGAUCGUCAUCGAGCUGAACGUGUGCUAGAACUCGGAGGUACCAUAGUUUCGGUGCUUGAUCGGUCGGGCCAUGAAGACGUACGACUACAUCAACUGCGUUGUGCUAAUGCUUCCGCUUCUGGUCUACGAGGGUACGUAGACAACACUCUCCCCUCUCGUUGCUAUGCAUCACCAUGAUCUUGUGUGUGGGUAGGAUUUUUUUUGAAAUUACUACAUUCCCCAACAGUAGUUUCCAAGUUUUGGCUAUGAAUUACAUGAAUACAUACAAACCGAACUCAGUUUUCGCUUCACACAAAUAAAACUUAGUUUUCAUUUGGAACAAGCAUUGGUGUAGAAUUGGUAACCUUGGUGGAAAAUACAUAGCAACUGCCGGUGCAUCAUCACCUGUUGGCACAAUGGACGAAUCAGUUGUUUUAGUACUCUUCCUCCUCUUCUUUGGCGGUUCUCUACACGAGCAAUAAGAAAGUAGUGAACAUUCGUAAGUGAUUACAAAACAGUAAUGCAAGAAAGUAGUUAACAUGCAAUAAGAAAGUAGAAUGCAUAGUUGAUUACCUCACUUCCAUCAAAGCAGCAAUGUCAUCUUUGUUACCCUUCUUGCACUUAUGCGAAUGGUGCCCGUAUUCCUUACAAAUAGGGCACAAGUGCUGGCCACUUUUCCUCUUUCAUGUUGGGAUAUGUAAAGCCUUUUGUCAUUGGAGGGUCUAAUUUGUCAUACUCUACAUGUGGAGUAUGAUCUGCCUCAUGCAACUCCUCAUCUUGCUCUACUUCAGCCUCCUCUACUUCAUCUUCCAAAUAACGCGGCGAGUACUUCUCUACAAUGGAUUCAACCAAAUCCUUAUAAUUUGUCAAGUUAUAAUCAAUGACCUUCUCAAAACAAAACAUCUUAUGUCCUUUCGAGCUUUUUUAUUGCCAAAAAAUUUAAUUUUGAGCAGAUAACUUGAAUUUGGAUCCAUCCCGUCAAUUAAAGAGACAACUUUGCAUUAAAUCUAUGCAUGCCUAUUGCUAGACAAUCUGAUCUUUUACUUGAAUCUAAGUGAACAAGUACUUUUGUUGGAGUCUCAUCUUGUUGUGAUCGCAGGCAAGCAAAUUAACAGCAACAUAAACCAAGUACAACCUAUGCAUGAAUUUACCAAUCUGGACACAAACCUAUGCAUUAUCAUUUUCUACUAGUACAAAACAUAUGCAUGAUCAUUGCUGCUAGUACAAAACUAGAGAUCUCACAAAACUAUACAAACUACUAAGCCAUGAACUUUAAAUAGGGAGACAAUAUUUAAAAGAGUGUCAUAUAAGGAAUUUUCUCCACUUUGAUUCACGACACCUGUCAUUAUCAAUCUCAAAGCAAUCCACCCUAAUCCUGAUUCCCCUCCUUUCUUUCUUUGACAAUUGCUUUUUCUUAAUCCCACCAUUGUCUUCGAUUCGGUACGACCUCUCACCAGCGGCCAUCAUGCGGCACGACAGAGCAUACUCCUGGUUGCAUUGCCCAUUCAGCUCCUCCGUUAGGCCACAAGAUUAGUCAGGGUGACGAACAACAUGAGCUCUUGUCGAUAGCAGCCGCACUACACGACGGCACAUCAUCCUCACAGUUGGCAAAACGGCUACCUAUACAGCCUAUCGUUGUAGAGAGGGUUUCGGCCAUGAGACUGUUUUUUGUAAAACUUGGUUGACAUGAAGUCAGGAAUGGAAUCCUUGAUUCGGAUUUUGGCCUGAUUUUUUUAAGACAAAUUUUUCAGGUGUCAACCAUGGGGAGGGUCUAGCUAUCUCGGGCGUACGACCCAGUUGUGUAAGAUUUUUUUCAAAAGCUUUCACAGAUUAAAGCGGCUGCAUUACAAAGAUCAAAUCAGGAUGCAAAAGAAAUAAUUACAAGCUAGUCCUUGACAUUUUCAAGUAGGUCCCUAAUAUGAGGAUAGGAAACACACAUUUGGGUCCAAAUUGCAUCUCUACCGCGGAUCCAGCUUUUCGUCGCUGGAGAUGACACCACUUGUGACCAUAGGACCACCACCACAUCUCCAGCAGCUAUGCAUGCCAAAGAAAUGAGAAGUGGCCACCACACCAUCACUGCACUACCUCCCUUUUGGCACAUCGACCGGGAGGAAGAUGGGAAGCUGGCAAGAUGCCAAAGCUUCAUUAGGCCACCCUUCAACUAGAGGAUUCACCAAAGAGGCAAUGAAACCGACUAUGUACUGUUGUCCGGGUGCCAAGGCUCCAUCACAUACACAAAAGAAGAAUCACCAGCACCCAAUCGACGUGAUCCCAAUCUCCUCUCAUCCCCUUCUCUGUCCCCAUCACCAUGGUGGCGACUCAAGAACGGCCCAAGGAGUAGGUAAUCCUCCAGAUCAAGGAUGCUUGCGAGCUUAUUAGAGUAGACGUCGUCGAUGCAUCCAUCGACAACUCCAAUCCCCAGCCUAUGGAGUAUUGCAAUUGAAACAGCAGCUCGCGGAGAUCCGCAGCGACCCAAUGCGGGUCAUGGGAAAGGAGGCUGAGAGGACCAAGCGGAGCUGGUAGAAGAGAUAGAUGCAUCGACGGAGAGGGAGAGGCGAGGGGGCGCAUAUCGAGAGUGGGGAGAUAUGAGGGAGUGGCGGCACUGGGAUAUGGGUUCAGUGGUGAGGGGGUUGUGGGGGAGAUGCGAGACCAAGGCGCUCUAUGUGAUUCCACCAAGAUGGGGGAGUGCAUUCCGAAUCUUAGGAGAAUAUCAAUAAUCCUACACCUACUGCUCUUUUAGGGGUAUGUUGCACAAUUUUUCCUCACCAAUUUCUCCCCCCUGAAUUUCACCGGGGUGGGCCCCUUCUUCCAACAAUUUUUAAACAAGUUAAGUAUCUCUUCGCUUGCUUGCUGUCAUUAAUUGUGUCUUAUUAAAAUGCCAUUCUUGUAUUAUCUUAUUAAAAUUCUAUGACAAAUAUACAAGUGGAUGGUUCCAGCGGUGGAGCGACGUUCCAUGUGAUGCAUCGACGACGUGGAGUCUCGGCGGUGUGGCGCGGUAGGGUCUUGUCGACGGAUGUGUGAUGAUGGUAGGGAGGAGGCAUUGUCUUGCACCGUGUGGGCGCCUACGGUAGGCCUGGCAAGUUCGAUGCGUCAGUACAUGCUCUAAAGAUGGAUCGGUGAAAGAAAGGCGGCGACGACGUCUGAGAGUGCGUCGGACUAGUGUGUGCCCCAGACUCGGCAUGACGGCUGGGUUGGGGCCCCUAGCUUUAGAUGAUAGGCUUUGAUGAGACGUUUGGGUAUUCGGUUUUGACCAUCUGCACCCCUUCAUCAAGUGGAUAGAAGUAGCGACAGAUAUUGCCAAGAUGGUGCCUUCAGACUUAUUGAUGUAUUAUUUUGUGAGGUCUUUAUGAAUAAUUAAUAAAAUGGUGUAUGCAUCGUCAAGAUGCUGAGGCUGGGUGUCAUCCUCCUUUUGAAAAAAAAAAUGACAAAUAUACAGGUUUGUUUGCCCGUGAGGUACUGUUUCUUUUUUUCUCCCUUCUUAGGGGCAAAGUUGGGUUUGGACUCUGUAUGCAGGGCAAAAAAUAAUAAUUUUUGUUUGGACUUUUGGGUUGGUGUUAUGCAAAUAGAUUAGACAAAUGUUAAUAUAUGGAUGAUUAUAACAUGUAUCAUUGAGAGGCAUGAGAGAUCUUUUGGCAGAUUUGGGCUAACUAGAUCUUCUAUAUAUAGAUAUGGAUGAUGAUAUGUAAUUUAUGUAUCAUUGAGAGGCAUGAGAGAUGCUACUAGGCACAACUUUGUAUAUGUUCCUGAGGUGAUUAUUUUUGGGAGAGCAUGCACUAGUUAUGUAUAUUUGUUAGUCUCCAUAGGCAAUUCCGACAUGCCGAAAUACUUUUAUGCAUACUGAAUCACUUUUUAUAUGUGACAUAUAUUGAAUCUGUUUGUCUACAUGACCAACUUGUAUGUGAUAUUUAGGUGGCGAAAUUGCUUCACGGACGACUAUUUCCGCAUGAGAUGCAAACAAUUUUUCCUCUCCAACAGCGCUCCUGUGUGCAUGCUUGCUGUUGGCGCUGCCACAGCAGAAUCGUGCACGCAUCGGCCGCAUGUUAGUCGUCUGUAUAGCAGCGCUNNNNNNNNNNNNNNNNNNNNNNNNNNNNNNNNNNNNNNNNNNNNNNNNNNNNNNNNNNNNNNNNNNNNNNNNNNNNNNNNNNNNNNNNNNNNNNNNNNNNNNNNNNNNNNNNNNNNNNNNNNNNNNNNNNNNNNNNNNNNNNNNNNNNNNNNNNNNNNNNNNNNNNNNNNNNNNNNNNNNNNNNNNNNNNNNNNNNNNNNNNNNNNNNNNNNNNNNNNNGCAUGCUUGAAUGGGGUGCAACUAUGUUUGUGCACUUGCUAGAUGACUAGAAGAGAGAGCAUCGGAACCUAGCUUAGAUGAUUACGUUUUUUGUGGUGGAACUAGCGCACCAAGGUUUACUUCAGUAUUUGGCACUGCUGCUCGCAUUUUUCUGGAUUUUAUUUAGUAUUUUCAGCGAUGUUCGUUCAGUGGAAUAGACAUUCCCGUCAACUUGUCGGGCUCGGUCUCUCAGAGAUGCUCGGAAGGGUAGGGUGUGUGUGCAUUCAUAAGGUAAGUGUAUGUGCAUAUGUAUGAGCGUCUGCGUCUAUACUGUGUUAAAAAAAGCAUCGUGUUUCUAAAAUUGAUUAAAUUACUGUCAAAAUUAGUUAAAUGUGUGUGAAUAUUUUUGAUAUUUUGUGCUUCUAUAUAUUAACGAAAUUCAUUAAGAUAUGACUGAAAUAAUUAAAAUUUGUAUGAAUCUCUAUGUAAUGCUUCUAAAAAUGGUUGAACUAUGAUUGCAAUUUGUGCGAGUAUUUAUGAAAUACUCCCUCCGUUCCGAAUUACUUGCCGCAGAUAUGGAUGUAUCUAGAUGUAUUUUAGUUCUAGAUACAUCCAUUUCUGCGACGAGUAAUUUGGAACGGAGGGAGUAUGUUUGUAAACAUUUUUAUACAGUGAAUCGUUAAAAAUGCACAAAUGUGUUUCCUAAUAUCACUGGAAUAAUUGAAAACUUCUGUCAAACUUUUUUGGUGAAAAUUAGUUUUGUUCUUUUUUGAAAUUUCUGCAAAAAAUAGGUUUAAAAAAUCAUUUCUUUUGAAAGAAAUAUGAACCACCGAAUGUGAUGGUGGGGCGAGUGAUGACAUAUCAACAUCGGAGUAACAAGAUAAAUAAUCAAAUAGGAUGUUCCGGUAUACUCUAUGCGCUGGCGCCAUACGAUUGGCUCACGGGUCUCAGCAGCGGAGCUGUUUAAAAUGAGUUUCAGCCUACUUGCAAAGACAUUAUUUUGUUUGUACAUAUUUGAUUUUGGAGUUCUACAAGGCCUAUGCACAUAAUGUGGGUUUUGGAGUUUGUAUCGGACAACGGAAGAAGAUUGAGAAUGAAGUUAAGCGCUUCAUGUGUAACCGUGAAGGAUUCAAUUCCAAAUUGGCAUCCUAGAGCUGUAUACUUCUAUUGUCUGCCAUCAAUUCUUCCUCACGUUGGCAUUCUAGAGCUGUGUCCAAGCAAAGGGAAAAGAAGCAUGACUAUGGAAGAUAUAUGCAACUAAAUUGUGCUCCCUGAUACCAAAUUUUAACAAGCAAAUAAUGAUUUUAUAUAUGUUUUGAUUUACUCUUGGAUGUACAUAAGCCAUGUAAUGGAUGGGGAUUCAAAUUAUGUUAAAUCAAAUUUGGCUUGAUUUAUCACAACUUUGAUGAUUGUCAAAUUAUUACAUUAUAUAUUGAACCUCAGCCGGUGGAUGAUUGUCAAAUUUGCAUUAUGUGAAAUCAAUUCUUUGCUCAGACCAGCAUCAUACUGGAGCACACAACGCUGUUUCUCAAUUUACUUUUAUACAUGACACAUAAAAAACUACAGUAAAUAUUCAGGAAACUUUGGAUAGUGACUUGUUGCUUAUAGCCUUUUUUACCUCAAAACUGGUUAAGGCCAUCCCAGGCAACUUCUGGUAAUUACUAUUUUUUUUCAACACAUACGGGAGCUAGUCACUGAACUUUGUAAAUCUUCAGGAUAUUUUGGAUAGUGACUUGCUGCUUACAGCUUACAUAUCAAAAGUGGAGAAAACCACCCCAGCCCACUUCUGCAACUCAAAAGCUUUAUAACAAAGAAUACAUGCUUUGACCACAUGACUGAGAAAAUCACUGAUUUUUUUUCAACACAUAAGUACAUAACUGAAUUAGUCACUGAAUUUUGUGGCAACAGCAAACAUGAUAUUUUUAAUAAGGGAAAAGCUGAGCCAAAGCCUCUGAUCUGAACAAGGCAUAUCACGUAUUGGUAAGCAAUUUAGAAAUGAAUAGAAACAUAUGAAAACAUCUCAUACCAUGCCAUUCAUUAGGGGCAAAUAUUAUUACUCUGCUACAGGCUACAAGACUACAUCACUACAGCUUCCUAUGAAUCACGAGAGACUGCAUCUUCCUAUGAAGGAACCGUCGCGGUCAGGGGAGGCCACCCAGGGCGUCGUUGGUGCCUCAUCAGACUCGUCUUCACAGCCGCGGAACGUCGUCAGUUAUCAUGCCUUCGCCGUCGAGACGACCGGCCGGCCGGGUCUAUAUAACCGUCGAGCCGUUGCUUUCGCUACUUGCUUGUCGUGUCCCUGGAGAAGUUCGAGGGAAUCAUCUGGGCGUUGUCGUCGUACGAGACCUUCGGAUUAGGACUUGAUUUGGGAGCCAAGAGAUCUGGCAACGAAGGACUUGGGGCAGGAGACGCACGACGCACGACUUGGGUCUUGGGUUUGCGAUGAUGGAUCUGGCUUUAGUGGGGUUUCCGCAAACAAAAAUAUUGGGAGUGACUAAUUAUCAGACGUCUGUUUUUCAAUUUGCUUCAGGCUGUUUUUUAUUCCAAUGGAGGGUUGACACGCGUCUGCAGUGACUACUCAGUCUAAAUGUUAGUAACAAAAAACAUCUGUUUUCUCGCUGGGUUCAGGUCGAAAACUAUGCGCCAGCCUCUUUGGCCCUUCUGAUGGUUUGCGCGUCAUCCUUCCUUUCCCCUAAUCGGGCCGCCUGGCCAACCCGUUAACACACAAAAACGCUGGGGUAGCCCAAGAUCUUACCCAGAUUGGGGCGACUUGGAGCCGUAGCUUACUGCCCUGACUCUAACUAAACCCCAGCUGCAUACUUUCCCACACUAAAAAAAUUCCCCAUACUACAAUUUUCCCAUGUUGUGAAUAAAAACUGAAUUCAGAGAAAUAUCCUGCUGCUGUGUACACAUUUUACCUAGAAAAAAUGUACUGUCUAAGACUACAAAACAAAAACUGAAAAAAAAAGAACUUGACCAUACAUUUGCCGUAAGGAAGAAUUAGAUACCUCAAAAAUAAGACUGAAGAAGAAACAUCUUGUUGUUCCCCUAUGGGAAAAUGUAGAAAAAAGUCAAAAAUUAGGAUGAAGAAAAAACUCUGAAGACUGAUGCUACUUGUGCUGAAGACUGAUGAAAACGCAUACAAAACCUGACAGUAACUUCAAUAAAAAACAAUGAUGGGAACAGAGAUCUUGCCAGAAUAGCAUACGACAACAAUUAUCUUCGAAAAGUUGUUUCUUAAACUCCGCCCUCGUAAAACAACCACUCCUUGGCUGCUACAGCCGCUGGAAGCGACACAGGUGUCAGUAGGCUUAUUAGCGCAGACCCACAAAAAAUGAUCUUCCUCCGUGAGUUGUAUCUUUGAGCGUCAAAAGCAUGUAUCUGUUGUGAUGGGAUUCAACACCACUGACGCCCCAUUUGGUCCAUUUCCAGCGUGCAUCUGAUCUGUAAAAAAUGAAGUGAAGCAAUAAAUAUGAAGGCCAAAUUAGUAAGAUGACAAAAUGCAGAUAAACUGAAAACUGUAUGAACAAACUUGCUAACCUACCUGGGAUUUCUUGACAAACUAAGCAACUAGGAUGGACAGCUUUAUUCGAGAAGAUCGAACAAGGACUGAAGUAGCUGAAGGUCUGAAUACUCAUAAAUAAGAAAACAGUCUAGAUAAGCAGAACAAAUUUUUCGUGGUUGUAGGCUGUGGUGGACUUAGGUCUGAAACAAUGAAUACUAAAUUAAGACUGAACAGUGAAUACUAACUAACCUACCUAUGUGGUAACACACAAAACUGAACAAAAUGACACCUAACACUGAAACUAAUAACAUAACUAAAAAAUGACACUAACCCCUGAGAGUACUUAAAAUGACACUAGUGUGGGAGAAGUUGUUGAGUAAGUGUGGGACAACUUUGGCUCGGAGAUGUGAAAUAUAACCUACAGGUACAAAAAUAAAGGUAAGAAAAUGAUCAGGACUCAUUGGAAAAUGACAGAGUGAGUAAGCACUAGGGACUCAGACUGAUUGACUAAAAACUGAUAGACUAAAAAAGGAAAUGAAUGCAACAAGUAAUGACUAAAUGAGAAAAACAAAUCUAAGAAAAAGCUAAAGUUUAUAUAAUUCUAUCAGCUAAAAGGACUAAGUUUGUAUCUGAAGCAGGAAAAAACUGAAUUCAUACACAAACUAAAGAAGAAAUGAAAUGUUUAACUGAACAGGACAACUAUCAUGCUAUCAUAAAACAUACAUGGAGGUGUUGGUAAUAUCCACAUCAUAGCCUUGUAAAAAUGAGUGAUGAAUGAAAAAUGAAACAUAACAAGAACUAGACUGUAGUGAUAAAUGAAUAACUGACCAUGACAGUGAACUAGACUAUAGUGAUAAAUUUUUUUGAAACAGAACUAUAGUGAUAAAUUGAACAUAUUCAAAACUAAGUUACCACUCAGCUUUCAAAGUCCUCAGACAACCAAACCCCAAAAUUUAGACGCGAUGAGCGACGGUCAGCGCAGUCGGACCUGCAGAUUGGGUACGCCAUCCCCGUUACAUAUGUAGCAGAGAAAAAACUAUUUUUUUAGCAAAAAGAUGACUGAAAAACUAAGAACAGAGACUCACCAGAUAACUAAUUUAAACUACAGGAAUUAUAAACACAUAUCAAGUCUAACAAAUUUAAAAUGAAUGCCGAAAAUACAGGAAUAACAUCAUAAAGUGAAAAUAAUAAGCUGAAUGGAAACUAACUAGUUAGAAUAAUAAAUGACUUAACUUAAAACUGAUAGACUAGAACAAACACUGACCAAAUAACUGAAGAGAACUAAAAUGAGACACUUAAGAUACUAAACAAACACCGACCAAAUAACUAAUCACUUAAUAUACAGUUGAAGAGAACUAAAACUGAUACUUUAGAGUACUGAUGACUAAAAACUGAAAAUAAUCUAGCAAAAAAACCAGUGCAAAAAACUGAAAACCAAAAACUAAAAACUUAGGACUUACAGGAACAUAAGGUUCAAAACAGAAAUAAUCAUCUACUAAAAGACAAGACUCAUGAGAGAUAGGAGUGAAGAAAGAUGCAAAUGAUAACUAAAUAUGAUAAAAAUGAGGACUGAUACUAUUACCAAAACUAACAUAAGACUGAGAAGGCAAGCUUACAAACUGAGGAAGAAAAACACCAAUUGCUGGAACAAAAUUAUAGAAAGGUACUGAAAACGGAAGACUAGACUACAGAAACACUGAAAACAAAGAUUCUAAAGACACAGAAAACUGAAGAACUAGAGAUAGAGAGAAAAGAGGGCUGAAUAAACAAGACAAAAAAGGUGGUUGAAUAGUAAGGUGACUCAAGAAACACUGAAAAGUGAAGGAUUGAAGACAGAGAAAAGAAAUCUGAAGAAAUAAACAAUUACUAAAGACUGAAGAAAGAUGACUGAAAAUAUAUAUGAAAUAGUUACUGAUGACAGGAUGAAGAAGAGAUGUAAUGGGCAAGGUAUGCAAACAGAUGAAUGAAGCAAUUCCAACAGGACAAUAGGGACCCUAACCACUAUAUGGCGCAGAGUGGAGGUGACAGUUUGACUGUCGAGCUAUUGAAUCCUACUAUAGCCUGACAAUUUGUCUAACCUCCCUGAUUGGAUAAGUGAUUUUCAGGCACUGUAGUUAAAAAAAAUAUGAAGUGAAGUUUGCAGCAGUUGAAAUUCAUUUUAAACGAUAGCCAUUGCCAGAAGAACUAAACAAAAAAGUAGGCCCUUUCGCCUUUGAGACACAUCGAUCUUUCACAACUAGCGCGCAACCUAGCCGACCCGUCUCCUGGUAGAUGUUGAUUUCUUCGCGUGUGUUCAAAGAAACUAAUUUAGGGGUGCUCUGGUUUUUUUACUGUUAGGCUGACCCCUGAAAAAAUUGACUUCGAACACACCUUAAUUGGAGGCACUACAAUGAAAGAAAAAUCGCUGUCUACUGAAAAAUGAACGCCCAUGAACCUGCACUACAGCAAAAAAGAAACCUACACCGAAAAGCAACCAGUGUUCAUGCAGGAAAAAGGCCUAAACCUACAAAAAGCAUACUGAAAAAUUAUAAUAGCCAAUACAUAACAGGUAACAGGAAAAAUUCAGAUCUGUCUGUUUUAGCGUGAAUAAAUCACGCCAAAAAAUAACCGUGAGCUUGCUCACAAAAGUCGGGCGUGAGAAGCAAAACCAUCUCCAUAAUGAAGGAAAUAUUUAAGCUGAAUAAUGUACAGAACAUGGUAAAAAAAACUGAAUAAUCUAGUACCAAAAGCUAGCUCUCAUUCACUAAACUGAAAAAUGAUAAGUACAGAAAAUAUAGAUUGUGCGCAUGUAACAUGUUUUCAUCAUGGAAGAUGCUACCGAAGAAAAUAGGAUUCAGAACAUUCCUUCGUCCAUGCUUACAUCAACAGAAAGCAGACGAAAAUGCCGCCUGAACCAUUACUGAACAUUGCAUAGACCCUCCCACAAAAAAAUAAAAUCACCAGCAAAUGCCUAAAAAACUCAAAUACCUACUUCCACACAUGCAACACAUGUGCAGUUUUUAAAAGACUGCAGAGGAGCCGAACCGCAGAUCUACAUCCAACACUUCGUAGUCAACUUAAUGGAAUGUUUUGUUUAGUGGUGAAAUUGACACUCAACACUUCUUUGAACCGGAGAUCUAGAUCCAGAAAAACAACAAGCCGGACUUGGCGAUGAAAUUUGGGGAUUGACUGACACACACGCAUAGGUGGCUGCAAAAUAUUCAGGAUCGUUUCUCAUGAACCACUCAAAAUCGCAGAUGUGAACUAAGCUAUCGCAAAACGUUCCUACCCAAAAACCAGCUAAUCGAACAACCCCUGCGACAUGGCUCUAUGCCCGGCGACCACGACGAUGAACUGAAUCAAACACAGAAAGAGGCAGAUCAGAUAGAACAAACAAAAAAAAUGGACAAACCUAGGACAACAGGGAGACGGAAGUAUACCUUGCGCCCCACCGACGCCGGCAAAUACUACCUCCCCCAGCAUGGGUGCUUGUUGGCCGCGAGCACGACGGGGAGCUCCGCUGAGUUCCUCUCCAGCCCGCGGCCCUCUCUGUGACGCACGCCUCCAGCAAUCAAGCGCCACGCUCCAUCUCCGGUUGGCCGACCAACCGCUAAUCACCGGCGAGGAGGCCCCUUCCCUCCGCCGUCUCCGCCCGCCUCGGCCAACCCCUUCCAAUCCCCUCCCCGGCUAGGACAAAGGCCGCCGCCCUUCGCCCCACCGACUGAAUAGAAAAUUCAAAAAACACUUACGCGAGACUGAGGGUGGAAAACCCGUGAACCCGAAAGCCCAACAACAAUAAAAAAAUCCACGACACAUCGACCCGGUUCACGCGAGACCGAGGGCGUACGACGCGCGGAGAUUUGCGUGGAUCGGACGGACACAAAAACGACCUGAGACGAAUUUAAAAACAGAUGACUGAAAAAUAGUAAAACUGGAAAUGGGAUUUGUUAAGUCAGAAAGCGGGCGGGUGACUGCAAAUUUUCACUUGGCUGCAUGUGAGAUGAUGGAUUUUGAUCGGGAGGCUGAGAAACAGAGGGAUAAAGGGAUACAUUUAUCCAUCGGAUUCACAAGAUAUGCUGCCAAUCUAUUUUGUUUGUUUGUGCACUCUCGUUAUAGUUUAUUUUUUCUUUUAUUUCAAAAACAGACAGUUGACCACGUCAAAUUGGAUUGUUUGCUAAAAAACAGGAUAUCAAUCAUGCUCGUCGGUGUCGUCAUUGCAGUUCUCGGGGGCG